rnacentral:lncRNA from 1 species
AGGUACAUCCUUUACGUAAGCCUUGGAUCUUUACUUCUAGUUAUUCUAGUACCAAUAUUCUUUCUAGAAAUAUUAUGUGGGAUAAACUAGAAAAUAUUAGUAAUUCUUAUAAUGGACCUUGGCUAGUAGGUGGUAAUUUUAAUAAUAUUCUUACUAAUAGCAAAAAAUUUGGAGGUAAACCAAUCAAAGAUAGUAGAGCUAAAUAUAUUUGGUCCAAAAUUAAUAACUGUAACCUAGUUGACCUAGGUUUCAAGAGAAGUAAAUAGACCUGGACCAAUAAUAGACAUAAGAAUAAGAGCCUUAUUUAGGAAAGGCUUGAAUAAAGUUUUUGUGAAUGAAGAAUGGUUAGAACUCUUUCCUAAAAGCUCUAUUAUCCAUCUCCCUAGAACUCACUCUUACCAUAAUCCUAUCGUGGUGGAAUUAAUUCGUAGAAAGAGAACUCCUCAUAAGGUCCCCUUUAGGUUGAAAACCUUCUGGUGUAGACAUCCGAAGUUUCAAUCUAUUGUUAAAAACACCUGGAAUAACAGUGACUACUUUAAGGCUAGAUCUAAUUUUAUUGAUAACAUAAAACCUUGGAAAGAUAGAACUUUUGGUAAUAUCAUGGGUAGGAAGAGAAAACUCUUAGCUAGACUUCAAGGCAUUCAAAAUUCUAACAACUAUGCUACCAGUUCUUUCCUAAUAAAUCUGGAACUAACUCUUCGUCAAGAGUUUAAUGAUAUCCUGAAAAUAGAAGAAGACUACUGAAAACUUAAAUCCAGGAUAAUGUGGCUUAAUGAUGGUGAAACUAAUUCUAGGUUUUUCCAUAUUUCUGCCACUAAUAGAAAAAGAAGAAAUAAAAUUACCUUCUUUUAAGACGAUGCUGGUAAUUGGAUAAAUGACCAUAGUCUUAUUCUGACCCAUGUCCAAAACUACUUUACCUCUACUUUUACCUCUUCCCAUACUCACUCUUCCUAGGCUAACCCCCUUAAUAAUCAAUCCAGUUGCAAAAUUAUCAACCUAGAACAACUAGAUAUUCCCCUACUGGAUAAUGAAAUAAAAAGUGCAAUCUUCUCUUUCAAAUCAUUCAAAUCUCCCGGUCUAGAUGGUCUGUACCCCUUUUUCUUCCAAAAAUAUUGGUUCCAUAUAGGGGAUUUUGUCAAAAAUCUCUGUCACAACAUCUUCAAUAACCAAAUAAUCCCUCCAAAUAUUAACAAGACUCUCCUAUGCCUCAUUCCCAAAUUCCAUAAUGCAAAUAAUAUCAAAAACUUCAGACCUAUUGGCUUGUGUAAUAUUAUCUAUAAAAUAAUUACCAAGGUUCUAGCCAAUCGUAUCAAACCUUUCCUAGACCAGCUAAUUAGUCCUUCCCACGCUAGCUUUAUCAAAAUCAGAAGAGCCUUUAUUAAGCUCAAAGGCAAGCAAGGCCAUAUGAUCCUGAAAAUUAACUUGGAAAAAGCUCUCGAUUGCCUUGAAUGGUCUUUCAUUCGUCACACUUGGAUUUCUUCAAAUUCCAUCCCAAAUUCUCUAAACUCCUGCUAAAUUUCAUCUUUACCAUCAAAAUAGCUAUUUUAGUCAAUGGAGCUACUACAAACUAUAUCCAAUCAAGUAGAGGUAUUAGACAAGGCAACCUCAUCUCCCCAUAUAUCUUUAUCCUCUGCCUAGAAAUGCUCCCCAGAUAUAUAGAAUACUAAGUAGAUAUCAAAAACUGGGACCCCAUUUCCCUAAGAUAUAAAUGUCCAAAGAUUUCCCACCUAUUAUUUGCUGAUGACCUUUCUCUCAUGGCUAGGGCGAAUACUAAAUCCUGCCAGGCAUAAAAAAUGGACUUGACAUAUUUUGCUCUCUAUCUGUCAAAACGUCAAUCUGACCAAAUCAAAGAUCCCUUUUUCAAAAAAUUGUAAUCAAUCGAUCAUUACCAACAUUACCACUUCUCUUGGUAUUAAAAAGAGUGAGUAGCAACUUUGGCACAUAUUUUGAUUUUCCCAUCCUUUAUCACAACCCAAAACCUAGAGAUUACCAAUUCCUUAUAGAAAAAAUAAGAACCAAACUUGCAUCCUGGAAAAUGAGGUCUUUUAGCUUAGCAAAAAGAACACCUCUUGCAUCAUCAUGCCUUAACACCAUCCCAAACCAUUACAUGCAGUACACCCUGCUCUCUACUAAAACCCAUAAAGAGAUUGAUAAAGUUCAAAGGGAUUCGAUUUGGGGUAGCACAAUUGAAGAAAAGAAACUUCACUUAGUAAGCUGGUCUACUAUAUGCCAAACCAAAAUAUAUGUGGACUGGGGAUCCAUAAUGCACUCAAUAAAAACCUGUGUACCCUGUCCAGCUUAAGCUGGAGACUCCUUACUAAUACCCUAAUUCCUAGGUCAAAACUAAUCAUCUCUUACUAUUGCAAUAGUUCCUCUGCAAAUAGAACCUCAUUCCUCUGGAAAAACAUUUACAGAGGGUAGGAAAUCUGUUCCAAAGGCAUCACAUGGUCCCUUUACAUCCACUCCAACCUUAAAUUAUGGGGGGGGNNNNNNNNNNNNNNNNNNNNNNNNNNNNNNNNNNNNNNNNNNNNNNNNNNNNNNNNNNNNNNNNNNNNNNNNNNNNNNNNNNNNNNNNNNNNNNNNNNNNNNNNNNNNNNNNNNNNNNNNNNNNNNNNNNNNNNNNNNNNNNNNNNNNNNNNNNNNNNNNNNNNNNNNNNNNNNNNNNNNNNNNNNNNNNNNNNNNNNNNNNNNNNNNNNNNNNNNNNNNNNNNNNNNNNNNNNNNNNNNNNNNNNNNNNNNNNNNNNNNNNNNNNNNNNNNNGGGGGGAAUUGGAUACCAAAUAUUGGUAGCCUAAGGAACCUAUUUACAGCCCCCUCUUCUGCCAAAGACCUCUCUAUAAAAAUCAAAGAAUUUUUUAUGGAACUAUGUGGAACAUAAACUCUUUAAACUUCCCUCCCUCUCUGGAUGUGUUAGCAACCAUAUCCAAAACAAAAAUCCGCCAAAAAGGCAUUUCCACUGAUAUUCCUACUUGGUCCCUGACCACCAAAGGAGUCUUUACCAUCACCUCUUGUUAUACUUGAAUCUCCAAAGGGAUCUAAUCUUGACUUUGAUUAGAUCUGGCACCUGGAGUGCCCUAACAAAAUUAAAAUUUUCUUAUGGCAAUGUAUUCACAAUCGAAUCCCUUGCAAGAUGUACCUUUCGCAGAUUGGACUAAACAUUGAUUCAAAUGUCCCAUUAGCAACAACCAUAUUGAAGAGUCAAUUGAACGUAUCUUCCUAGAUUGAAGAGUUGUCAGUAAUCCUUGGAGAGAGAAGCAAGCAACCCAGUAAAUCGUAAAAUGCGGGAAGCACUGGCUCCUCCAAGUAAGGGAUCUCAAUAUCCAUCUAAAUCACAACCUCAUUGAUGGGAAAAACUUAUUUCUUUCCUCAUCUGGCAUAUCUGGAUUAAUAGAAACAGUAAUAACAUUAACAACACGAACAAUUUUGUAAGGGGUUCCCAAAUCACGCUAAAGGCUUUGGAAUUUAAACUUUUCACGAAAAAAUUCCUUAUCCACCAUCCCAAAUCCCUUAUAAAAUUGGUUUAACCCCAUAGGGAAUGGUACAAAUUGAAUGUGGAUAUGAGUUUUCAAAGCAAUGGCAAGGUGUCUUUAGAAAUGCAACCGGCUACUGGGUGGUUGGUUUUGCAAAACUAGCACAUGCAAAUGGCUCCCUUGCAGCAGAACUAAAAGCGCUACGAGAAGGGCUACGAACAACAAAGGAAUGGAAUCUCUUCUCACUUGAGAUUGAGACAGACUGCUUAGAGGUCAUCAAGGCAAUACAACAUGGAAACAAAUUACUUAACAAAACUGUUAAUGAUUGCAGGUCCUUAAUGCACCAACAGAGGGUUACUCUCCAGCACACUUUCAGGCAGAGUAAUAGGAUUGCCCACCAACUAGCCAAAGAAGUUCUAGGAAGGGAAAACAAAUCUCAGGGAUUGGCAGGAAGCAACAAAGCAGUGAAAUCUACAAAAAUGUUUUUGUCGUACUACCUUUUGAUGUACUACAUUUUGUUGAAAGUGACAACUUGAAUCACCCUGUCAUGAAAAAUUCAUGUGUAAUGAAGCUUGUAAUGUGCUAGCAAGCUUAGGAAACAAAUGCAUCAUCCGUGAUGCUAGUUAUGUUAACCAUGUACUAGAUGUUCCUUAGCUUUUAAUAUAUAUAUAUAUAUAUAUUGUACAGUACCUGAUGCGACGUGCAGCCUGGUCAACAUAUAACUAUAAGACCCGUUGUAGCGUGCAACCCAAUCCACAUAUAUAUUGCAGCGUGCAACCCGAGCCAUAUAUAUAUAUAUAUAUAUAUAGCCAUAAGGCUCGUUGAGACGUGUAACCCGAUCUCUCUCUAUCUAGAUAUAUAUAUAUAUAUAUAUAUAUAUAUAAAUAUAUAUAAAUAUAAUAGAUAGAAGUGACCUAAUUUUUUUUAUAUUAUUAUUGUACAUAAGUUAAAGUCUAAUACUCACGAUAUUCUAACGGGUCGUUUGAUACGCAAAAUAAAUUAUUUCGAGUUACAAAUUUGUAUCAUAUGAGAGGUGAAAUAGAAUAAUCCCAAGUUUAAUGAGAUAAAGUGAGAUUAUAUGUGAUAUCUUGUAUUAAGUCUGGAUUUAUACCGUCAACCAAAUACGAUAUAAAUUUAAUCCACGUCUUAUCCCACCUUAUUCCUAGUACCAAAUGAUUAGUAUAUCAAAAAGAUCUAGGGGCUCAAAAGAAAUACGUCCAUUUACAAAAAAAACCGUUUAACGGUCAACUGUCUUUUCUGAAUUCUUCUACAAAUAAUAAUAAUAAAUAAAUAAAUAAACUAUUCAUCCUUAACUUUCUCAAAAAUUGCAAAUGGUGAAGCUGUAAAAACAAUUGCUAAACUGGAAGCAUAAGAAAAUCCCCAUGUCAGUAAGUCAAAUAUUCCAUCAUUUCUCGUUUCCAUUUCAAUAAAUAUUUAUACAUUUACUGCGUGUGUGUGUUAAUAUUUCCAAUUAUUAAUUAGUGUCCGGCCAGCCCCAUUUAAAUUUAGAAUCAUUUUUUUUCUAAAUUAUUUUCAAGAAAUUUUUGUAAAUUGUGUAUACAGAGAGAGAGAAGAGAGGAGAGAGAGAGUCAAAUUAUUUGGUGAAAGGGUUGUCGAAGAAAGGGAAGAAAUGCAGGAGAUCCAGUGCAUUGUUGUAAAGCUUUAAUUUUUUCAUCAGAAUUGUACUUUACAGGCAUUUAUUUGAAGGUAUAUAUAUAUAUAUAUAUACAAAAUAUAUAAAUGUACAUAUAUAUAUAGUCUUAUGUAUGUAUUAGGGUAUUUGAUGCUGUACAAAUCUUUGAUAAGCAGAUCAUCAACUUCAUCUGAAAAAUUUGAUCUUUUUUGAAUUUUUAUAUGCCCUUUUGCUUAAUUUGUCCAGUUUUUCAGUUUUCUUGAACCCCAUUUUGGUUUAACAAAUUUCUUUUUAAAAUUGUCAUAUACCCUUUUGCUUAAUUUGUCUAGUUUUUCUAGUUUUCUUGAACCCCAUUUUGGUUAAAAAAAUUGAUCUUUUAAAAUUUUCAUACACCCUUUUUCUUAAUUUAUCUAGUUUUCUUGAAGCUCAAUUUGGUUUAAAAGUUGGUCUUUUUCAAAUUCCCAGAUACCCUUCUUCUUAAUUUGUCUAGUUUUCUAGAACCCCAUAAAUGAAAAGGUUGGUUUAUGAUCCCUUCUUCUUAAUUUGUCUAGUUUUCUAGAGCCCCAUAAAUGAAAAGGUUGGUUUAUGAUCUUGAUUAGUUGACAGAAUUGAGAUACACUUUCGAUGAAAUUGCCAUUGUAGAUUGUUGAAUGUGAUGGUUUAAUGAGAUAUUGAUGUAAAGUGGUUUUUGAAUUCUACAUUUGUAGGCUGAAAACCAGGACUAAAGGAGGAGUACCUGCAAGCUCCUGAGUUGUUUUCUUUCCCUUUCUGAUUUUUGAGGGUUUAGGAAUAUUGGAAUUAUUAGAGGUUAGGGAGGGAAAGAAAGCAUUUACCUUUAUGAGCUAACUCAAUUGGGUUAAAGAAAAGGACAAAUUUUUGAUUCAAUCUUUAGUAAGAAUGAACGGUGUAUCAGGUUUGAUUUCAAGGCAAGUCUUGCCAGCAUGUGGCAAUCUUUGUUUCUUCUGCCCUGCAAUGCGGACUAGAUCAAGGCAGCCUGUUAAGAGGUAUAAGAAGUUGAUCUCAGACAUUUUCCCUCGCUCUCAGGUUAGUCAAGGAUUGUAUAGUGAAUAUAACCAAAUACCAUCUUCUGCUUGGUUCCUCUUUAUGUGUUAAAUUCCCUAAAUCAGUGUUUGGAAUCUAUAUAUAAGUUUCUCUCCGUAGCAAUAGAGCAUUUGACUUUUUGACUUAAUAGGGAUUCUUGAAGUCAUCAUCUUUUGCUUUAUAUUAGAUUUAGAUGGCCGUUAGUAAGAAGCAUUGGUUGUUUUUACCUAAUCAACUAGUACUCGUUAUUAGCUGUAUCUAACAAAAGGGUGAACAAGUUUGUGCACGGGAUUAACUCCCCCACCCUUACAUUGUCCAUGUGGAGAACUGUAAGUAAAAUUUCUAGGUUUUCUUAGAGCAGCCGCAUCCGAUUUUGGUCUUGCUGAUUUUUAGGGAAGCCUCACAAUAUAUGAAUUUGGCGGAAGUUGGUUAGUCUAUUGGCUAUGAUGUCGCACAUGAGCACAUAUGCAGAAUUUGUGUGAUUGUUCUUGCUGAUCCAAGAAAGCUGAAUCGGGAUUUUACUAUUUCAACUUCUGCAUGAUAUAAGAAAUUUCUAUACUAAUUGAUUGUGAAGCAUCAACUAUAUCUGCCAUAAGGAAUGAUAGAUUAGAUCCAGCUCAAGUUUAACCAUACUAACAUGUAAACUAGCUGUUCCUUAAAUUGUCUUACCUUGCUGCAACAAUGCAGAAGCUUAGCCCGUCAAUAACACUAAUGUGCAUUAGAUUUGAAUAAUUGCUGUGCUUGAAAUUGAUGUCAUUUAAAAUUGUCAAGCUUAUUUUACCUUUAGUUUACAUUGUUGACAUUAGUUUUGCGAGUUCAAAUGAUUUUAAGGUACAUUCAGCAGUGAAUUUGUAUGAGGUAUGGAGUAACUCCAGAAAGAGUGGUAUUUGACAAUUUGACAACAAAUAAACUUGCUGUAUUUAUGUGCUACAAACACACGUAUAUGACAUUUGUGCAUUCACUUCGCAGGAGGAAGAACCCAAUGAUAGGAAGAUGGGAAAACUUUGUGAAUAUGCUGCAAAAAAUCCUUUUCGCAUUCCAAAGGUAUAUUCAUUCGCAGUGUUCAUGAAAAUUAUGAGCCCUCUAAAACAAUCCAUGAGAAACCUCCUGAAAGUUUGUAAAACAUUAUUUUGCUUUCUCAUCUGCAGGAUAACUUUAUUCAACUCUCUGCAGUUUCUUUGUCUGUUAAUGAAAUUCGUAUUUUGGUAAACUGAAAAAAUCUGGGAAACUACCUCAUUCAUAGUUCCCUGUUUAGAAGAAAUCUUCUCUUUUGCUUCAUGCUUAAAGUCAGUAUUUUCUAUUACAUUUUUGUCAUUAACCUUUCUUGGAUCUGCUGAACAGAUAACAAAGUCGCUUGAGGAGAGGUGUUAUAAGGAAUUGAGAAAUGAGAAUUUUCGGUCAGCAAAGGUUGUUAUGUGUAUAUACAAAAAGUUGGUUGUUUCAUGCAAGGAACACAUGUAAGUUUCUGUAGCUUAAAAAAAGUAUAAAUUGGUCUUCUUCAGCUAUAUAUAUAUAUAUAUAUAUAUAUAUAUAUUCGAUACGGUAUUACCUACUACACUUAUACUCAGUACAUAAUAUAGCGUAAGUAUAUGUUAUAUAUAUCUCGAAAAACAUCAAAAUUCAAGAAAUUUGCAAAACCCGAGCCCCGGGCCCACAUCUCAAAAUCCAAAAAUGUUUACAUCACUAUGAUUAUUAUCUCGCCAUGAGUCUGUACAUACCAAAUUUAGAAAAAUCGGAGUUUAUUUGACCCCUUAAAUCACAAUUUCUAUCCAAGAAGGUUUUCUACCAUUUUCAACAAAAAUUGUUUAAUUAAUGUUUCAAAAUUUUCCCAUUUAUUGAGAACUUGUUUGUCCCAUCUUCUUAUUCAAUCUCCACAACUCCACUUGCAAACAUUUGCGCCACUCUAAAUGUCCCUGACCAUCAGGACUUUAACUUAUCCGGAAACAAUCUCAACCGUGAAUUAUGCAAUAAUACCUUGUCAUCGAGUUUAAAUUUUUGUCCACAAUGUGCUUGUCAUGCAUAUUUUUCAUUCUUUCCCUGUAGAGCCUCAUGCUUUCAAUGGCUUGAUAUCUAAAUUCUUCUAGCUCGUGCAACUCUGUCAGUCGAUUUUGUCCAACUGCCAUGUUCAAUCGUUUUAGUGCCCACUAAUCUCGAUGUUCUAGCUCCACAGGCAGGUGACAUGCUUUCCCAAAUACCAACUUGUAUGGUGACAUAACUAUUGGUGUUUUGAAUUCAGUUCUUUAGGCCCAGAGUGCAUCGUCAAGCUUUUUCGCCCAAUUAGUUCUUGUGGCAUUCACAGUCUUGGUUAGCACACUUUUUAUCUCUCUAUUGGACACUUCAACCUGCCCACUAGUUUGCAGAUGAUAAGGGGUAGCCACCUUGUGGCGUACAUCAUACUUUGCAAGCAAUUUCUAGAAGGCUCUAUUACAGAAGUGAAUGCCCUCAUCACUGAUGAUCGCUCUUGGUAUCCCAAAUCGGGUGAAUAUGUUUUUUUCACAAAUCCUAUCACCACUCUUGCAUUAUUAGUGGGCAACACUACAGCUUCCACCCAUUUAGACACAUAAUCCACACCAACAAGUAUGUACUUAUUGCCAAAUGAGUGACGAAGGGACCCAUGAAGUCAAUCCUCCAAAUAUCAAACACCUCUACCUCUUGAAUCAAUUUCAUGUGCAUCUCAUGGCGACGGGAAAUGUUCCCGGUUCGUUGACAUUCAUCACAGCACUUCACCCAUAGGUGUGCAUCUCUAAACAUUGUUGGCCAAAAGAAACCAACCUCUAGCACCUUCGCAUCUGUCCUAAAUCCCCCAAAGAAAACUGAAUUCUAAGGGCAAUCGAUGUGAACCAUAGGGUUUAGAAGCAGCCGCUUUCAGUCGUUCCCAACGUUUAGAUUGAGUAGACAUCAAAGGCAGGGAAAAGAGUCGAGUCGAUCAGGCUCGACGAUCGGGAGAAGCAAAACGAAAUCAGGCUUUUUGUAGUGCUAGCAGGAAUGCAAGUGAAUGAAUCCCAUCCCCUAGCGAGUGAAGUGCUUACGCCCCUUUAGAGAUAGGGGCGAGCAAAAGAGCUCGUUCUUCCAUUUUGAGAUCUUUAGAUUCGUAAGAUCAUAAUAGAGUCCCUUUACUUUCUAUUAUAUUAGUCAAGCGCUAGCGCCCUACAACUAGUAUAGUAUAGCAGAGCAGCCAGCUUCAAAGCUUACCUGAUUCUAAAAAGAAGUAUUAUUAUAAAAGAGAAAGGUUAGGGGGCUGAGAAGCUCUUGCUUGCUGCUUGCUGUCUACUUCGCGAGCCUUCACUGCCCCGUUCUGUAACUUCCCUUCUUUCGUCCGUCCACGAGGCUGUAAAAAGAGAGAAAGGGGCGGCUAUCUAGCGGGAGUCGUUUCGGUUGUAUGCCACGAGGUCCCUAUGGACAAGGGGACAAGUGAAUCAUCGCUUUUGGGCGCAGGCAGCCCUCUACCAUCUAUCCCAUUGCAUUCCAUCGUCUCGUAUUGUACUGUGCCGUAUCAGACCAGAUAGAUCUAUUGAGUGAGAGAAAGGGAGAAAACUCUAAUUAGAUAUUCUUUUUAUAUUGAUAGGGAUCCCCAUUCAUUCCUAGAUUCCCGUCACUACGGACUGAUUGUCCCUACCUAACUACAUGGUAGUGGUCUAGGGAGCGCAAUUGCUAGAGCACGGGAGAAUUAAGAGUAAUGAUUUCAGCAAGAGCAGCCAGACGGACUACUAUAGUGAGUCUAGUGACUACUAGAGUAGAGUUAAGUCAAAAGGUAUGGUAUAGCAGCCUUUCCGAGCGAGCCUCUGGGAUCUCCUGUAAACCCCCAUGAUAUGGUAAAGGGAGGAUAUUAGGGGAAGCAGUGAGUGGAGAUUCCCCUGCAGAGAGCCGGAUGAGGGGAGACCCUCACGUCCGGUUCGGAGGGCGGGGAUAUCCCGACCCUACUAUCAUUAUGCCUUUGCAAUGUUACUUGGUUCAACUCUAUUUGUGACCUUUUCUCGUAUGUGGGACUCUCUAUCUUCUUGGGUAGAUAAUCGAUCGUCUUUCAUUUGGAUAGUGAGUAGUUUUUAUAAUAAUAAGUCAAGUCAAUAAUAAUAGAACUGGAGGAGUGAAAGCCACUUGACUGUAAGGAAAGGAGCGAAAAGCCAGGAUGGCUUGGUAAGCAAGCAAUCCGUUAUGUGGGCGCCAACUCCAAGUUCCUUCUCUUCUUUCUUUUUUCAAGUCACGAUCAGAAUGAUGACAUUCUUUUUUGCUUUAGAAAGGAGAAGGGAAAAGGCCAAUUUGCACCACCAUCCUUCCCCAAAGAUUCGGUUAGUGUGCAUAGACUUCUACUUUCCUUAGGCGACUUUCUUGCCUUACGAAAAGAAGUUCAUUUCAUUUUCCCGGGAAUUUUGGAAAAAAGCCGCUUCCUCCUUGAAGGCGUAAGGAAGAGCCUAUUCAUGUGCAGUUGAUUCUCGAACUUAUAUAUAUAUUGGGUUGGCCAGAAACAGAUGCAUUUCUAAUUUUCAUCUCAUCAUUUUCUGUCAGGCCACUUUUUGCAAAUAGUUUGCUCAGCAUCAUACAAACUCUCCUCGAUCAGUCGCGAGAGAAUGACAUGCUGAUAGUUGGAUGUGAAGCACUAUUUGAUUUUGUAAAUAAUCAGGUUGGUGCUUUGGGGUUGUCCUCAACUUUAGACUGGGUCGUUCAGACUAUAGGUGUUAUUUAUUGUUCAUCUUUAUGCAUCAAUGAUACCUUAUAAAUUUUGCAAUAUUUUAUACCUUCUUGACUUUAUUGUUUUAUGCAGAAAGAUGGUACUUACAUGUUUCAUUUAGAUGGUUUUAUUCCAAAACUGUGUCAACUGGCACAGCAAAUAGGAGAGGAGGAAAGUGCAAAACAUCUCCGCACAGUUGGAGUGAAAGCACUUUCUGCAAUGGUACAGAGUUCAUGCAAAACAUCUCCGCACAAUUGGCCUGAAAGCACUUUCUGCAAUGGUACAGAGUUCAUGUUGAUUUUGCCAACUGUUUAGUCUAUGCACUUUGUGCUUUUGAUACAAACUGUGGAAGCAAUUGGUUACAGUUAUAUACAAACGACAUAAAAGUUUGUUUUCAUCAGUUCCAAAAGAAAAUUAAGUCAAAAUCAUAUCAUCAACAAAUACAGAAGUCAAAAUAUAGACUAAGACAUUACAGAGUAUUCUUAAGACUCUAAUGGACUUCUCUCCUUGUUUGCUUCUUAGCAUUUUCUGCUAAACACAUCGUUGUACUGUUUAAUGGUUAUUACCAUGAGUAGGUUGCACAGUUUUGUUUGAAAAUUAUUGCUCAAGUGAACAAAAAUAAUUAUAGCAUGGAACUCUUAAAUAAUUAAAUCCUAGAAUAGGUAGAAUCCUAAAAGAGAAGAAAGCAGAAGAUGGAAAAUACUGUUGUUUUAUUUUAUUGUAUGGCAAACUAUUUAUACAGAUAUGUACAACAGAUGCACCAACAAGAUAAACUUGAAAAGGAUAACACCUAUCAGAAAAGAGCCAAAUUAGGAGGAGAGAGUUACAACAAAUUCCUAAAGAUCAGUAACUACAAAAUAGAAUUCUACAGUAGUAAGGAAUCUAGAGUAAGCAGUAAUCAGCCGUUAUUACGCCCCCGCAAGUUGGUGGUGUCAACAACACCCAACUUAGAAAAUUGCUUGACAAAUGAGGCUCUUGGAAGUGGUUUCGUAAGUAUAUCUGCCACUUGAUCAGCCGAGUGAAGGUGUUGAACUUCGAUUUCCUUGUUUUGAACUUGUUCACGAACAAAGUGAAAGUCAAUAGCAAUAUGCUUCAUGCGACUAUGGAACACCAGGUUGGCGCAAAUGUAGGUGGUACUGACAUUGUCACAAAAGAUCUGAGGAGUGGCUGAUAUACGGAAGCGAAGCUCAUUGAGCAAACUUCUUAGCUAAUUGGUCUCAGAGACAGUAGCUGCAACAGCCCGAUAUUCUGCUUCUGUGGAGGAACGGCAAACAGAUCUUUGCUUCUUAGAGGACCAUGAUAUCGGAGAGCUGCCAAGGUAAACAACAUAACCUGUAGUGGAGGUUCGAUCAAGAGGAUCUCCAGCCCAGUCAGAAUCCGAGUAGGCUAGAAGACGAUGAUCACGUUCUUUAACAAUUCGGAUACCAAACGAAGAUGUCUGGUAUGAAGGAGACGCUUCAUGGCUGUCCAAUGAGAUAUUAAGGGUUGGUGCAUGGACUGUGAGAGUUUGUUAACUGCAAAAGCAAUGUCCGGACGUGUAAAGGAAAGAUAAUGAAGUUUACCACUUAUCCGCCUAUAAAGAGAGCCAUCUACUAGAGAAUCUUCAGAAGAUUCUGGGAAAAUAACAGUAGAAGCAAUUGGCGUUGGAACACCCUUGCAAUUGUGCAUAUUAACUUCCUGUAACAGAUCUAUAAUGUAUUUUUCUUGAGACAACAAAACACCACCUGGAUAAGAAAAGACUUUAACACCAAGGAAAUAAUGAAGUUGACCAAGAUCCUUUAGUGAGAAUCGGGUUGCAAGAUUUUCAAUAAUGCUUCAAACACCACGAAUUUGAUUGCCCGUAACAAUUAUGUCAUCAACAUAAAGUAGUAUUUAAGUAGUAAACUCAGAAUUAUGCAUGAUGAACAAUGAUGAAUCAGAUUGGGAUUUGAUAAAUCCCAAAGUAACAAGAUAAUUUUUGAGUUCAGUGUAUCAGGCCCUGGGAGCUUGUUUUAACGCCAUAUAUAGCUUUGUGCAGCUUGCAAACAUGUGUAGGAUAUGUAGAAGCUUCGAAACCAGGUGGUUGACGCAUAUAGACCUCCUCGUCAAGUCGACCUUGUAGGAAGGCAUUAUUGAUAUCAAGUUGACUGAUGGGCCAGCUCUGUUGUGUCGCAAUUGCAAGAACGAGUCAACAGUUGCGGGCUUUACCACAGGACUAAAAGUACAUUGAAAAUCAAGGCCAGGUCGUUGUGUGAACCCUUUGGCAACUAGGCGAGCUUUGUACUUGUCAACAGAACCAUCAGGAUGAUAUUUAACUCGAAAAAGCGACUUACAAUCCACCACAUUUUUCGAAGGAUCACAUGGUACCCAGAUCCCAUGUCCGGUUCCUAACUAAGGCUUCAAAUUCAUUUUUCAUAGCUUCAUGCCAGUGCGGUACUUGUUGAGCUUGGUUAAAGGUUCUAGGUAUGGAGGAAGAGGUUUGAACAACAGUGUGAAAUUGUUUGGGCUUAAGGCUGUUGGUUUUAGACUGAGUAAUCAUAUGAUGAGUGGAUGUCAAUGUAGAUUCAGAGGCAACAGGGGAAGGUUGUGAGGCGAUGGAAGGUGGGACAGGUGACGAUGAAGAAGGUUGUAUCAUAGGGUUCUGGGUCAAAGGUCCAGUGGACUUAUUUCGGGGCUGGUAAGUGAUUAUUGUGGAUUGAGGCUGAACAUUAAAAUGGGGAGAAGGGUGAACUGGUGAGGCAGGACGAUUUGGUUGAGAGGAAUCAUGGCUGGCAACUGAGUUUGGUAUGGCAAGAGUAGGGGGCAGCAAAGAUGUUGGAGAAGGAGAGGAAGUUUUAGAUAAGUGAGAAACCGAAUUACCUGAGAUGGUGGCUCUUGUUGGGGCAGAGGAGACAAGUGAGUGCAUGUCCACGGGCUGUUGUAUAUUCCGAGUAGGAAGCUCAUAACAGACAUUUGAACUCAAAGUAUUAUUCAUUUGUGGUUUUUCAGUUGAACAAAUCUCCCAAGAUACACUUUUAUUAAGUGUAAUUUUCAAAUGGAAAAAAAUAUUUUCAAAUGGGAACUGAUUUUCCAGAAAUAAGACAUCACGUGAUAAAUAAAUUUUGAAAGUUAAAGGAUCAAAACAUUGAUGGCAGUAAUGUUUAUUUGAAAAUCCUAAAUAAACACAUGGUGUCGAACGGGGCUCUAAUUUACUUUUGGCAUAAGGUUUGAGCCAUGGAUAGCACAAGCAUGCAAAUACUUUAAUAGAGUCAUACUUGGGCAUAGUUUGAAAUAAAAUUUCAAAGGGGCUCUUAUGCUGAAGAUUGGGUGUAGUGAGGUUGUUUAUUUUAUAAACAGGCUCACUACACCCAAAAGUGUUGGGCGAGGGUAAACAAGCUUGUUGACAAGCAAAACUCCAAAAGUGUGAGGGUAAAGAUGCUUGGUGCAGCAAGGUUCUAGCCGUUUCAAUAACAUGUUGGUGUCGUCUUUUGACUAGAGCAAUUAUUUGCGGAGUAUAUGGGGGUGACACUAAGUGUUUUAUGCCAUGUGUUUUGAGAUAGGACUGUAAACAUUGAAAUUCACCACCACCGUCAGUGUAAAGAGAUUGAAUUUUGGUGUUGAAUUUGCGUUGAAGCAAUGGAUGCAAAGUUUGAAAAACUUCAAGCGUUUCAUUUUUUGAUUCCAAAGUGAACAACUACAUGUAUUUUGAAAAUUGGUCAACAAAUAACACAUAAUAUCUUCUUUUAUCAAUUGACAAAAUUGCAAACGGACCCCAUAAAUCGCUAUAAAGGAUUUGCAGUGGCUUGUUACUUUGCAAUGAAUUUUCGGAAAAAGUCAACCUGUGCAUUUUAUUUGAAUAACAGGAAUUACAAAUGGAACUAGCUUUAGGAUUUGAAACAAGAAGGGAAAAAUUAUUCAAGAUAGUAUUUAAAUCGCGACGAUUAGGAUGACCUAAACGUCGAUAUCACAGGUGAAUUGGAACAACCAACAUUGCAUUGAGGAGGACGGUGUGCACAAACCCCGUGGCCACUCGUAGAACCCAUCUUUAUUCUGCCCGCAAACUAGAGAUGCCCCCAUUCUCAGAUCCUUCACAAGAUAAUGAAAAGGAAAGAAUUCAAUAGAUGAAUGAUUAUCACGACAAAACUUAGAAACAAAAAUAAGGUUAUUUUCUAUGGCAGGAGAACAUAAGGUAUUGAGAAGUUUAAAAUUAUGAUUUGAAGCACUUAUGUUAGAGUUACCAGUAUGAGAUAUUGGUAUGGUGUUACCAUUGCCCAUAGUUAUCUCUUCGGUGCCGUGGUAAUCAUGUACCGUGGUUAGGCUUUGAGCAUCAGAUGCAAUAUAUGAAUGGCUCCACUAUCCACGAUCCACAAGGUCAUUUGAGGAGAAAGACGAGCAGCAAAGUUUGCCCGAGCUUGCAGAUGAUCAUGUGACUGCGAUCUGCUUACUCUAGCAGAAUGACCUACACGAUCACAUAGUUGGCAGCGGAGGUUUUUGUCAAAGGGCUGUUGCUGGUUGUUUCUUCGUGGGCGCCAUGGUUGUGUUUGCCAUUGCUGAUUGUUGGCAGGUGCAUUUGGACCUGGACGACGAUUGCUGGAGUUAGGAUUAUUACCCUGACGAGGAGGAGUUGGUGUAGUCUUUUGUGUUACAGCAGCAGUAAUAGGUGUGGACAACGACUUCUUGUCUUCCUCGUGCUUUAGGAAAAACUCAUGAUCCAGAAGCUUUACGAUUGCUGGAGUUAGGAUUAUUACCCUGACGAGGAGGAGUUGGUGUAGUCUUUUGUGUUACAGCAGCGGUAAUAGGUGUGGACAACGGCUUCUUGUCUUCCUCGUGCUUUAGGAAAAACUCAUGAUCCAGAAGCUUUUCAUAAAGCUCUUCACAGGAAAUUGUAGAAUCCCGAACACGAAUGGCAGCAGAGAGUUCGUGAAAUUCAGAUCCAAGUCCACCGAGUAUUUUAACGAUGAGUUCGGCGUUUGAUACAGGGGCACUAGCAGUUGCAAGUUCAUCACAGAUUGAUCGAACUUGAUGUAGAUAAUCGGUGACCGGACGAGAGUCUUUAGUGAGGCGAGCCAAUCGAUCUCGCAAGCUGAAAAUUCUUGUUUGAGAUUUGUUCGCAUACGCAGUAUGCAAAGCAUCCCAGGCAGCUUUGGCGGAGACUGCAACAGGCAACAGCAACAGUAGGGGCAAGUGUAGGAUCAACAGAGGCCAAGAUAGCAUCUUGAAUUAACUGAUCUUGACGAUACCAAGGAACAAAUGCAGGGUUAUUCACAUCUUGAUUGUUUUGAGAGAUAGUGCAUGUAGGGGCAGGGAUGGAGCCAUUGAGAUGCCCAUAGAGAUUGUGGCCACGCAUAAGCAUUGAAACUUGAGCUUUCCACAGAGAAAUAUUAUGACUGCCAGUUAAUUUUAUGGGCAGUUGCGUAAGGGGCUUGAAUUGGGCAAUAGUAAUGGCGUUGUUGACUCCAUCAGCAUUGGUCACAGAAAUAUUGGUGGCCAUUUGAGUGAUUGGGCUAGUAAGCGGGAAAGAAUAACAGAGGAUCAACUCGUGGGAGUUUAGUGUCACUCUGAUACCAUAAAAGAGAAGAAAGCAGAAGAGAAAAUACUGUUGUUUUAUUUUAUUGUAUGGAAAACUAUUUAUACAGAUAUGUAUAGCAAAUGCAGCAACAAGAUAAACUUGUAAAAGAUAACACCUAUCAGAGCCUAAAUAGGAGGAGAGAGUUACAAUAAAUUCCUAAAGAUCAGUAACUACAAAAUAGAAUUCUACAAGGAAGGAAUCUAGAGUAAGCAGUAAUCAGCCGUUAUUAAAUCCUACAUCGGUUAAGUGUAUGGCUUGUAUUCUCGAAGUCCUGAUUCUGUUUUCAAUUGAAUUCUAUACCAGUAACUGCUACGAUUAAUCAUAUAACACCAUGACUAAUUGAUACCUGCAAUCAAAUGUAGAUCCUAGAGUUAGUUGUUACAUUGUUAUUCUUACAAGAACUUAACUGUGUCGCAGGUUUGGUUCAUGGGUGAAUAUUCUCAUGUUUCAGCCGAGUUUGACAAUGUAAGCAGAUUCUUUCCACCUUAUUUUCUUAUUGUCAAAUUUAAAAAUUGCUAGCUUAAAUCUUUUGAUCUCUGGAAUAUGUGAUGAAGUGGUUACAUGUCAGAAAUUGUAUCGCUUGCAAGAUAUUACCUUGAAAUAGAUCUUUUGUAUUUCUCAGUAGUGUAUUUUGCACUACUUUGUGGCAGUAGCUUAAACUCUGUGUUCAUCUUACUUUCCCAGACGUUUCUAUUGCUUCUAUUAAUAUAUUUAUCCUAUCUCUUAGGUUGUUUCAGUAGUGUUGGAAAAUUAUCCAAGGCCAAGAAAGGAAACUCAAAACUCAAAUCAGAACAGGUGGGUGGAAGAAGUGCGCAAAGUUGAGGGCCACAUUUCUCCUUCCCCAGAUGUCAUUGCGAAGGUUCCCUCGUGGAGAAUCAUUGUGAAUGAGAAAGGGGAACUAAAUAUUUCAAAGUUAAUAUUUUACACUGAAUGUCAGGUGGAUUUUUUCUUUUUCUGUAUGUGGUGUCCUAAAGUGCAUAUUAAUUUCCCUCGUGACAGGGAGGAUGCAGAAAACACAUCGUUUUGGUCCAGGAUUUGCCUCCAUAACAUUGCCAAACUAGGUAAGGAGGCUACAACCACACGGAGAGUUUUGGAAUCUUUAUUCCGCUACUUUGAUGAAGACAAUUUAUGGCCUACUGAAACUGGAAUUGCUUUACCUAUUCUAAAGGAUAUGCAGGACACGAUGGAUGCAUCAGGUUCGUAGUUACUCCCUUUACCUGUCGAAAGAGAAAAAAGAAAGGGAGAAGUUAGUCCUUUAUUUUAUUUUCUUUUUAUUCUUUGGCACUCUCAUUUGCUCGUUGUUAUCUUUCAUUUCAAAAAUAUUUCAUUACUUUUGGUUCUACUCUUACUAGUAUUACAUUUUCCUUGUAGAUAACAUUCAUAAUGUCUUUUUUCUCACUUUUUUGAUUUCUCAUUCCCCUAUUCAAUUAUGCAGGAGAGAAUGCACAUCUUCUGCUGUCAAUAUUAGUCAAGCACCUAGAUCACAAAAAUGUUCUUAAACAACCUGAAAUGCAGCUUGACAUUGUUCAGGUGGUGACUUCGCUUGCUCAAACCACAAAGAUUCAUCAUUCCAUGGCUCUGGUCAGUGCAGUGACUGAUAUCAUGAGGCACUUACGGAAAAGUAUACAUUAUACUCUUGACGACGCAAAGCUGGGAGCCGAGUUAAUAAAGUGGAACCGAAGUUUCCAGGAAGCAGUGGACGAGUGCCUCGUGGAGUUAUCAAAUAAGGUGCAGUUAAUCUGUCAUUGGAUUUGAAUAUCAAAUAAGUUGCAUUCUAUGUAACUUUGUCGGAAGCUGUCUUAACCAAACUUGUUAUUGAUCGGUAUUCAGAAGUCAUGAUUCUUUAUUUCCUUGACUAUUAGGUUGGAGAUGCAGGCCCUAUUCUUGAUGUGAUGGCAGUAAUGUUAGAGAACAUCUCGAGUAUCAAAGUGAUAGCAAGAACUACUAUUGCUGCUGUUUACCGUGCUUCUCAAAUCAUAGCUUCUAUGCCAAAUUUGCCAUAUCAAAACAAAGUAAGGCUGAUUGACAUUUGAAUUUACUAGACUGUUACUUGCUUUGGCAGCUUUUCCCGACGGAUAUUGAGUUAAGAAUCUGACUUUUCUUUAUAUAUUUAGGCAUUCCCAGAGGCUUUAUUUCAUCAGUUACUCCCUGCUAUGGUCCACCCUGAUCAUGAAACACGAGUUGGAGCUCAUCGAAUCUUUUCUGUUGUCCUUGUUCCAUCUUCUGUUUCUCCUCAGAACAUACCGGAGGAAACCCACCUAAGGAAGGCAACAGAUUUUUCAAGAGCACUCUCUAGAACUGUUUCCGUCUUCUCAUCUUCAGCUGCUCUUUUUGGAAAGCUGAAAGACCAGAGGUCUUCUUCAACGGAGAAUAUUACUCUUGAGAUGGAACAGAAAGAUAACAACAGCGGGAUGCUCAACAGAAUAAAAUCAACAUAUAGUGGGGUAUAUAACACGAUAGGCUCAACUGCACCUGUUGGAGAGUGUACAAACAAACCAAAUAAGGAAGCGGUAGGUUCUGUAACCAUCUUCACAUCUCAGUAUUAUACUCUUGUUACUCCUAGAUUUCUUAAGUCUACAAAAAAAUUAAAAAGACUCCUGGCGUAACAUUAACCUGGUACGUGUACCAACAUGGCGAAGCCUUAAGCCUAAUUAGUUUGUAUAUUUUUAUGUGAAUCUUUUGCUUCUAUCAUAUUAUGUACCUUAGAAAGAAAGGAACAGUUUUGAAACUUGUGGUCCUAAUCAUGCCUUAACUUUUGCUUGGCAAUUAGACUUCUGAAACUUUUGAUCUUAAACAUGCCUUAACAUUGCGUUGCUAUAGAAGCUUGUCAUUAAGGGUAAGUAGGAAGUAUAAUCAUUUCAAAAUUAAGAAAGGGGUCAUUCUUUUCGAAGCUGACGAGGAAGGAAAUAGAUUAACAUAAAUUGGGAUGGAGUAAGUAUAUGAUUUUAGUCCACCUCCUCACCAUUUAACACCUUUUAUCAUUGUAGUGGCUCACCGACAUAUCGUUGUAUAUGGAGGUCUCCAUAGUGCUACUUGUACCUUCUAUCAAAUGUAAUCAGUUGUAUUCUUUUCUAAUUGUGCAUUCAUCAUAAUAGCUGUAUAUUACGACACUCAUAUAGUGGAUAUGUUGGGAAUUAGAGUUCAAACAUUCAUUCACAUUACAUGAAAAAGUUUCUAAUCUUUUCUAAUCGUGUAUCCAUCUUAACAUCCGUAUAUUCUGAACACACAUAUAGUGGAUAUAUUGGACAUUGGACUCAGCCAUUCAUUCUGAUUAGCAUUGCUGAUAUAACUGUAAUAUAAAACAUGUCUUUAAAUUUGGGAUUGGAAGCUAUACAAUGUAGUAAUGAUAUUUGAUCCUGUUUCAUUUGACUUUACCAAGUAGUGAAAAUUAGUUUCCUCGUGAUCCUCAGGGUCCUAUUUCUCUAAGACUCAGCAGCCACCAAAUCAUACUCCUGCUCUCCUCUCUAUGGGUACAGUCCAUUUCUCCAGCAAAUAUGCCUGAGAAUUAUGAGGCCAUUGCUCACACAUUUAGCCUGGUCUUGCUGUUUUCUAGGGCAAAGGUAAUUGGAUGAGGCAAUUUUCUAUGUCAUGUUAAAUCGGUAAAGGAACUUAAGUGUGAACAAACAUGUGUUGGUAUGUAUCUGUAUAUCCUUUCCUACAGUCUCUUAAUUAAAAUAAUCUUCAUGUACUUGUGCAGCACUCAUACCGUGAAGCUCUAGUGCAAAGCUUUCAGCUUGCAUUUUCGUUAAGAAAUGUCGCGCUCGUUGAAGGAGGUAAAAGUGCCACAUCAUAUAUGCUCUCUGUGGUGUGGAACUGCUUAAGAUUUUUCUUUCCCUUUAAUUCAUUCCUCCAUUAUUCUGAGAGGGAGUGGUAAGUAAUUGUGUCAUUGGAGCUUUAGGAACAUGAGAACAAAUAUCACUUGCCACAUUUCUUAUAUCCCUUAGUAUCUUUUGAGUUAACGUGAUCCAUUUUUAAUUAUUUCAGCUUAUCUGUUUUGAGAUUUUGUUCUCCCUUCUGCAUGCUUCCUUCUACAUUUUUUUUAUUUCAAGGAUCUUCUGAUCAAAGUUCAUAUGAUUUUUUUUCAGGGUCACUACCACCAUCACGUAAAAGAUCUCUGUUUGUGUUGGCGACAUCAAUGAUUCUUUUCUCAUCAAAGGCAUAUAAUAUACCUUCUCUCAUUCCCUGUGUCAAGGCUACACUUUCAGAUAAAACGGUUGGUCUUUGUUCUUUCUAUUGAAUGUCAGCCUGGUUCCUACUAGCAGCUGAACUGAUGAAAACUACUUUUUAAUGUAAUUUAUUGUUCCUUUUCAGUAUUAUUAUAGUAUUAGGAAUCUUUCAUUUCAUUUUUCAGGUUGAUCCAUUUUUACAUUUGGUUGAAGAUAGCAAACUACAAGCUGCUGAUUCAAGUUCUGGUUAUGGAAAAGUUAUAUAUGGAUCCAAAGAAGAUGAUAGUUCUGCUCAGAAAUGUCUCUCGCAAAUAAAUAUCACCGAAGAACAGUCAACAGAAUCCUUGGUUUCUUUAAUCCUGAAGAGCUUAUCUAAUCUACUGGAUGUAAAUAUUUCACUGUUAAUUUUCACAACCAUAUACUGGUUCCCUGCUUAAGCAUUGAUCCCUAAUAUAACUUAUUUUGGCACGUAGUUUGAAGUGUCAGCUACAAGGGAAGAGUUGCUUAAGGAAUUUUCACCGGAUGAUUCAGAUUCCUUGGGGUCUCAAUUUUUCGCUGAUGCUCAACAUAGAGUUCAGCAGUCUAAUUCAGUUGAUGUAAGUCUCUGGAGGGAGAAAUUUAUUUCGGUAUACUCUUCUAUCCUCAUCUUUUUUAUUUGAUCAUUCUUUCUACUGUUGUGCAGCUAUCCUCCAUAUUAGACGAUGAUGGUCCUGAUUUAUCUCAAAGCAGUUCCAAACAAAAUGAACAUUCCCCCAUGGAAAUUCCCACUCUGUUGAGUGUCAAUCAACUUUUAGAAUCUGUAAGUGGCUUUCGAAUAUAAUGUUUAUUUAACCGUUUAUUUAUACAAAAGCAACCACACCUCAGUCCCAAGCAAGUAAGGGAUGUCCUCUAUAUCCAUGCCGCUUCAUUUAAUCUCAUCGUAGACCCUAUUAUACAAUAAUAAUGAUUCCUGCAUUUUAAUUUAUGGACGUAGUUUGUCUCAGCAUGGAGUUUAAGGGAAAAAUAGAGAUUUUUGAAACUUUUGGUCUUAAAAGCUUAAAGGGUAAAAGCUUUCAGGGGCUAUACUUUUGUGUGGUUAUAAAAGUUUUUUUUUUUUUUUUAAAACCGAUUAUAAUCCCAUUUAGUGGGGUCUGGGGAGGGUAGUAUGUACGCAGACCUUACCUCCACCCUUGGGUAGAGAGGCUGUUUCCAAAUAGACCCCCCGGCAUCCUUCCCUCCAAGAACUUCCCACCUUGCUCUUGGGGAGACUCAAACUCACAACCUCUCGGUUGAAAGUGGGNNNNNNNNNNNNNNNNNNNNNNNNNNNNNNNNNNNNNNNNNNNNNNNNNNNNNNNNNNNNNNNNNNNNNNNNNNNNNNNNNNNNNNNNNNNNNNNNNNNNNNNNNNNNNNNNNNNNNNNNNNNNNNNNNNNNNNCAAGAACUUCCCACCUUGCUCUUGGGAAGACUCGAACUCACAACCUCUCGGUUGGAAGUGGGAGUUGCUUACCAUCAGAGCAAUCCCUCUUGUCUUUGGUUAUAAAAGUUUCUUAUUAACGGUAAAAUAGAAAGUUUAAAGUUCAAUUGUUUCCAAGUACAGAAAUACGUCAUUCUUUUUUAAGCUGACUAAUAAGAAAAGUGUGUACAUAAAUUAAACGGGGGAGUAAUAACAAUUUGUCUAACCUAUUGCUUCUGCACUACGAUCUCUGACAAAAAGCUUUACAUCUAGCUGUACUUGUGAAAUGGAUUUCUUUUCUUUGUGUGCAUGUGGCUAUUCUGCAUUUCUCACCUCUAGCGAACUUGCAUGUUCUCAUGCCUCCUUUCUGUGCUUAUGAGAAAAACCAACCUCAUCUGAUGACUCUUUAGUUCGUCUUGUCUUGACAACUAUUUGUGGCCAAUGUUUUUUUUAGUUUUGUAUUUUGAUUUGAUCAUCUAAAAGUAACUUUGUCUGCACCAAAUGAAGGUUUUGGAGACGGCACAUCAAGUAGGGAGAAUAUCUUUGAGCAAUGAACCUGAUUUUUCUUACAAAGAAAUGACUCAUCAUUGUGAGGCACUUUUAACGGGAAAACAACAAAGGAUGUACAAUUUGAUGAAUAGCCAACAUCGACAAGAUAGUGCAUUGAUCAGAAUAUCACAGAAUUCCAGUGAACAGGACAAAGAAAGCUCUUAUACAAUUUGAUGAAUAGCCAACAUAGACAAGAUAGUGCAUUGAUCAGAAUAUCACAGAAUUCCAGUGAACAGGACAAAGAAAGCUCUUCCGAUAACCAGGUCUCAGCAGUUUUUUUAUUUUUUUGGUUUCUAUAAACUAACCAUUUCUUUUUUUCUCCUUUUCCCCCAUUCCCUUAUUCAUUUGCUUUUCCGUUUCUGUCCUACUUUGGCAAAACGGAUAGCUGGUUAUAUCUUUAAAACGAACUUACAGUAGAUGUAGCACUACAAUUUUCCUGCUUUGCAUGAUAACUCCAGUAGUUCAAAUCUUGCAUGACCAUUCUGAAAUGAGUUUCAUUUAUUAUUGAUAUUUAGGACUGUUUUUACAAGUUAACUUAUACUCUUUAAUAAUUAGAAAUUCGAUUAGCAUGGUAUAACCAAAUUUAUGUAUGUAUCGUAUUAUUUGAAUUCUCCUCAUACUUACUUUAUUUAAAACAUAUCUCCAGGUUCUUGCAACUUUUUGAAUGUUGUACCGCUAGUUCAUGUCUCUAUUAUCAUGUUACAUUUUUUGUAUUUUCAUAUUCUUAGAGCUUUAUCUACACCCGAUUGUUUCGUUCAAGCGUUUGGUGCUACUUCUCCCUUUUCAUCUUUUUCUUUUUCUUCUCCUUUGUUUUUCUUGUUCUUCUUCUUCUUUUCUUCUUCCCCUUCUUCCUUCUCUUCUUCACCUUCUCUUGAGCCGAGGGUCUACCGGAAACAGCUUCUCAACUGCGUACACACUACCCUUCCCAUACCUCACUUAUGGGAUUAGAACUGGGGCCACUGUUAUUGUUGUAGUAUAAUCCAGCUUCUUGCAUUUCUAGACUUGUUACAUGCUGUAAUCUCAUUUAUAAGAUUCAAGUAAUACUCCGAUAACUUGUGCGAAAUCACAUUUUGUGAUCCACUUUGAUCUUAAACUUACUCUUCACUAUACUUUAUAGGGGCAGGUUAAAAACCAACUCGUAGAUCAGAAAGUGGCCAAUGUUUCUCAAAAACCAUCACCCGGAACUGUCGAUUGGCAUUGUGGAGCUCAAUGUCAAAGUAAUCUGGAGACGUUCAGACUACCAGCAUCAAGUCCAUAUGAUAAUUUUUUGAAAGCCGCAGGAUGGUAGAUAGCGUGGAGUCAUACCGAACAGAAAAGGUUGAGAUAACUCCCCUCCUGAAUCCUGAUGGCAGGGUGACGUUGUACGGCUAAAGCCUAAUACAGAGAGCUUUCUGCUACUGAGAAUCAGAAGAUCCUCAUGCAACACCCGGCAUAGAAAGGAAGUCGGCGCCAGGGCUGUAGAUAACAUAGUUUGUAACUCAUACACAUCAAAGUUGUUCAUUCUUUUGUUCUUUAUUCUAUUAUACAACAACAACAAUAACCCAGUAUAAUCCCACUUAGUGGGGUCUGGGGAGGGUAGUGUGUACNNNNNNNNNNNNNNNNNNNNNNNNNNNNNNNNNNNNNNNNNNNNNNNNNNNNNNNNNNNNNNNNNNNNNNNNNNNNNNNNNNNNNNNNNNNNNNNNNNNNNNNNNNNNNNNNNNNNNNNNNNNNNNNNNNNNNNNNNNNNNNNNNNNNNNNNNNNNNNNNNNNNNNNNNNNNNNNNNNNNNNNNNNNNNNNNNNNNNNNNNNNNNNNNNNNNNNNNNUCCCUCCAAGAACUUCCCACCUUGCUCUUGGGGAGACUCGAACUCACAACCUCUCGGUUGGAAGUAGGGGUUGCUUACCAUCAGAGCAACCCCUCUUUAUUCUAUUAUGAGGCGAUAUGUUACUAUACUGGAGGUGGAGAGGAGGCUUGUAUUGCAGAUAUUCCUCUCUAAGGAUUUGAAGAGUUAUGGCUCAGAUGUUAGGUUUUGCUGUCCUAACCAAUGCCAUUUACUGUGUAUAAGAUCAAAUGUAGCUUUUCCUGUUCUCUUUUUAGUGAUCUCAGAUGGAGCUAUGCUCCCCUCUCUGGUAUGCAGAUACUGCUAUUUGAAAUGGAAAAAACACUUUGGUUUAUUCAAAUUUUCUUUUUAUUUAUGUUGUCAACUCUUAUUUUAUUUUGGCAAUAUGAGCUGAGCUUAAAGAAAUAAAUGAGGAUUCAUAUAGUCAAUCUAACCUUGUUUGGGAUUGAAAUGUAGUAGUUGUUGUUUGGCAUAUACUCCAUAUGCUAUGAGAUAUGAACUCUUAUAGUGUAUUUAUGUAUAUGUGGUAUUUAUAUCAAUUCCAAUAAAUAUAUGACAUGUGUCUUUACACUCUAUUGCAUAAAUUAAACAUCGAGUGGGAGUAGAGUCCACGAGCCAUGUAUACUGUUACCCCCAAACGUACGUGCAAGUAUACGUGGUCGUACAAGUAAUAUAGGAUUGUAAGUCCAAAUAUCGUACCCACAUGAACUUGUGAUUAACUAUCAACUAAAUUAAACUAAAACAACUAAUCUAUUCAAGCGAUUCCUUAGGUGUGAUUAUUUAAUUACAACUAAUCUAGAACAGUAAACUAAGAAAUUAAAGAAACAAGUCAGUAGUAUUAUAGGCGAACUCAAUAAGAGGCAAUAUUCUAGAGCUAUGAGUUAGCUAACAAUCCCGAUGAGUUAACUGUUUAAUUAAUUUAUUUAGUUUAUUUGUACAGGGUUAGUAUUACUCAUAGUAUUCUCCCGAAGUACUACUCGCUUAUUCAAGCUAACCUAACACCUAUAUUCUUAUUAAUUAUUAGGAUUAACAAGAACACAUUAAUAUGUAUAGUAACUAUGCAAGGCAAUUAGGUAUAUCUCUAUCCUAACUGCCAAUUCCCUUCCCGAUGCUCAGAUUCAAAAUCUUGCUCUACUCAAUCCUAUAUGCAAUCUAAAAUUCCUUCUCCCGAGUUCAAUCCUAGAUUUGUAGAUAAUAUUAAAUUGGUGAUCAGACAAUCAAAUAAUUAAGUGCAAGAUUGAAUAUAUAAAUCAAUACGAUAAAAUAAUAAGAACAAUUCAAAUUUCAAACAACAAUGUUCAUGUAGCGCCCACAACUUUAGAACUUAUGAACUAUAAAAGAUAAAGGAAGAGGAGAAGAAAAACUAGUUAGAAGCCUCCUUCAAGCGUGGUUUGUGUUCCCUCACGUGAUUUCUCCUUCAAAGUAUGUUAGGUCUCCUCCAACUUAGGUUUAGAAUCUCUUUUAUACAAGUUGGGACCGUGUAGGGAUGAAAUAACCUUAUCUUGGACGAAAUAGGAAAAAUCUCGCACUCAUGGUCCAUGCCAGAGGGGUUUAAAAUAAUAAUUUUGAACAAGUUAAAGUGUCUGGAUAAAAAAAAAAGUGAAGUAGGAGGACCGUUAUAGGUGCUAUUUAAGCCAUUUUGCCGGUGUUAAAAACUUAAACUAAAGGUCUAUAAUAUACUAAAAGUAAGCUUGAAUUUUGUGAUCUCGACCAUAUCAUAUCAUGUCGUUUCUAUAAAAGGAGUGUCAUUAUCAGUAAAAUAGGCAACAACAAAUCCAGUGAAUUUUACGAUUGGAGUCUGGGCAGGUUAAGAUAUACGCAGCCUUACUCCCACUCUAAAAGAGCAGAAAGACUAUUUUCAAUAGACCAUCGACUUAAGAAUAAAAGGAGUAACAACAACAGGCAGUAACACUAACAAGAUAAAACAUGUGUAAAAUAGGACUGUUGGAAUUAAAAGCUAUACUAAAUAUACAAAGGAGGCUUUUUAAAAUGAAAUUUUUACACCUUAUAAAAAACCUUAAUACCCUAUUUAUUUUAAAUAAAUACCAUUUUAAAAUAUUACAUCCUAUAGAUACCUUUUAUACUGUAUAGCCAAAUAUCUAAUUAAAGCUACAUCCUACAUUUAAGGUACCAUAUAUGCUAAAUAAUAUUUUUCUCUCUCCUUUUUAGUCUUUUCUCUCACAUAAUCACCGNNNNNNNNNNNNNNNNNNNNNNNNNNNNNNNNNNNNNNNNNNNNNNNNNNNNNNNNNNNNNNNNNNNNNNNNNNNNNNNNNNNNNNNNNNNNNNNNNNNNNNNNNNNNNNNNNNNNNNNNNNNNNNNNNNNNNNNNNNNNNNNNNNNNNNNNNNNNNNNNNNNNNNNNNNNNNNNNNNNNNGUAUUGUUCAUACAUAUGUUGUUAGGAUAAGUUUAAUUCGUAGAUUUUGAUAUUAUUACUUUGCUUUUCUGAUUUUGGUACAGAUUUUUGCAAUGGGGAGGUGUGCAAUUUUUAGUUUUUUUUGUUUGUUUAAUUAUUUGCGUUUCUGAUUAACAUCAAAGAGAAUCUUUCUCCUUGAGCCAAUCACGACGAAUACAGUUUGCUUCUACUUAGUCCUUGUCCUUUUAGAGGGAAGGUUUAUAUUUGUUAAUCAAUAGACGAAUUUAUUUGUUUCAUUAUUUAUUUUUCUGAUUUUAAUUCUUAUAGUUUUGUUUUUUCUUAAACAAUAACCAUGGUUAUUGUUUACUCGCCAGGAAGCUUUCAUUUUUCUCUCAUAUGGAGGUUUCAACGCCACACAAGAUGAUAACAAGAGGUAUACCCACCAAAAUUCUCAAUUUUGAUGGGCAAACUUUCUCGUUGCAAAUAACACAAGCAGAGUCGAAUUUUGCAGGUUUAUCAGCAAAUACAACUUCAGAGAGAAGAACUAAAUUACACAAUGACAAAUCGACAGAAGUCCAAGUUGCGAAAUCUUCAAAAGAAACAAAAAAUUCAGUUGAUUCAAAACGAAAAAAGCCUUUGAAUGAUUCUUCAUGUGUCAAUAUUAAGGAACUAUAUGCAAAAAAAUACCAUAUACACGACACGAAAAGUUAAUUGUCAUUGUACAGCGGAAAAAGCCUUUGAAUGAUUCUUCAUGCAUCAAUGUUAAGGAAGUUUAUGCAAAAAAAAUUUACUGUAUACACGACACGAAUAGGUAAUUGUCAUUGUAUCAAUAUGAAUUCACAAAAAUUUGUACGUAUUCAUAAUUAUUCAAGUUAUUUAAUAUGUAUGAUGUUGUAUUCGUAUGUAUCUAGUUGCAUUUAUAAGUAUUAAAACAAUUUGCACAUUCACAUUGUCAAUAUCUGAGUUCUGCUUACUUGAAUAUUAUAUGUUGUAUUUAAAUAUAUUUAGAUAUAUUCAAUUUUACAUUCUCUGUAAUUCAGUAAUUAUUUCAAUUUCCCUUGUAUGUUGUAUGUAUCUAUUCACAUUUUUAUACUAUUUGAUAUUAAUGUAUAUCUCAUUUUUGUAUAUAUAUGAUGUUGUAUUCAUAUAUAUCUAGUUUUAUUCAUAAGUAUUAAAAUUCAUUUGCACAUUCAUAUAGUCAAUAUCUGAGUUGUGCUAAGUUGAAUAUUAUGUGUUGUAUUUAAAUAUAUUUAGAUAUAUUUAAAUUUACAUUCUCUGUAUUUCAGUACUUAUUUUAAUUUCCAUUGUACGUUGUAUGUAUAUAUUCACAUUUUUGUACUAUUUGGUAUUAAUGUACAUUUCAUUUUCGUAUAUGUAUGAUGUUGUAUUCAUAUGUAUCUAGUUGUAUUCAUAAGUAUUAAAACUCAUUUGCACAAUUAUAUAGUUAAUAUCUGAGUUGUGCUAGUUGAAUAUUAUAUGUUGUAUUUAAAUGUAUUUAAAUAUAUAUUCAAUUUUACAUUCUUUGUAUUUCGGUACUUAUUUCAAUUUUUCUUGUAUGUUGAAUGUAUAUAUACAAAAUGAGUUACUGUAUUGAAGAUGAAUAUGAAACAUUUUUAAAAUUUUUGUUUGUAUGCAGGGAAAUGAACUAUUUGUGAAACAACUACCAAAAUAUUCACCUCAUAUUUGUUCAUAUACAAACACAAAUAUAGUAUCCGAUCUAAAAAAAAAGCUUAUUCCAGAACAGUAUAAACUAUUAAGUUUUACUUGUUUUGGAAGUCUCCUUGAUAUGGAUCAGUGCGAGGUACAACAUCGGCUCUUCAGGUGUUUCAUGCUUAAGCAGUUAGAAGGAAGUACUGAUGACAUAUUUUCAAUACACCUAAAUGGUACAACAAUUUCCUUCUCAAUCAGAGAGUUUGCUCUCGUCACUGGUCUCAAAUGUAUUGGUGAUCCUACAUCUUUUAAGUUCAACACAGAGGUUCCAAACCGUAUAUCAAUCAUAGAGUUUGCCCUCGUCACUGGUCUCAAAUGUGAAGGUGAUCCUACGUCUUUUAAGUUCAAUACAAAGCUGCCAAACCGUAUUGUUCAUACAUAUGUUGGUGGUUCAAAGCUGGUUAAAAAGGAAGCUUUAUUGUCAUGCUUUGAUGAAAAGAAGUGAGGUGAUGGCAACGAUGGGGAUGCCAUCAAGAUAUCAUUGAUGUAUCUCAUACAAACAUGGAUAUUCUCAUCAGAGAAGAAAACCACAACAAUCUCACGGCUACAUUUUGACUUAGUCGAGAGUGGGCGAUUCUCUGAUUAUCCAUGGGGUACUCUUGCAUUCAGCAGCCUUAUUACAUCUAUUAGUAAGAAAAUGGAUUUGAUUUUCAAUUCCUCCUAGAUAACUUUAAACAUAGAUUGGUAGGAUGGGAAAGUAAUAUGCUAUCCAUGGCCGGCCAUACCACUCUCAUCAAAAAAAAGUACUAUAGGAUUGAUGGUACGCCACUCGCAAUGCAAGUUUGGUUUUAUGAGUGUUGCUCCAAGGUUGACCCUAAAAUUGCAAAGCGCCUUGGUAAUCGUGUACCUAGAUUUCUCAACUGGAGAACCAUUAUAAAUCAAAUAACAUUUACUUAUCUGACGAAUGGCAUGUUCACGGGCGAGGGAAACAAGGUAAAUUAAUAUUUCAUAAGUUUCUGAAAUUCAAUUUUGCAUACAAUACUUUCUAAGUAUUGCCUAUUAUUCUUAUAACAUACAUAUAUGUAGUGUAUAUUCAAGUUCCAUACACGAAAAUCUUCCAUACAUAUACAUAUAUUAUUGUUUUGCUAAGUAUUAGCCUAUUCUGCUUAUAACAUACAUAUGAAUAUGUAGUGUAUAUUCAGGUUCCAUACACCCAAAUCUUCCAUACAUAUACAUACAUUAUUAGAUAUAUACAACAUACAUUUCCAUACAAUAUACAUGUAAAUACAACCUAUAUUAUCCAUAUGCAAUACACCUUCAUUUGCAUCAGAUUAUACUUUCCUUUUGUUAUGGCCUACAGUUGCACACAAUAUACAUUUCUAGACAGUGAUCAACUUUAAAUAUAGGUUGGAUAUAACAUUCAUUUUUGCAAUUUCCAGAUUGUAUUCAAAGGCAUCCAACCAAGCGAUGUAGAGCUUGCUGUUAUUCAACUUCCUCUGGAAGGCGUUGAGGUAGAUACCAACCCUACAAUUACUCAUUUGGACAAGCAUGCAGAUGAUCAAGAUGAUUUGGAUGACUUUAUUCCUACACCGCAUCGAGCUACCAAUACUCAUUCAGACAAGCAUGCAGAUGACCAAGAUGAUUUGGAUGACUUUAGUUCUACACCACAUCAUCAACCUAAGAAUAAAUAUGAUGCAAGUGUUAGACCUUCUUCAUCUCCGCCCCACAAGAAGCGCAAAGAGCAGAUUAUAGAUCACUCAGAGGCAGGGACUAAACCCAAGACUCCUUAUGCUGGUGUAUCUGAAAUCAAUCAAAAUAUGGUGCAUGAUAAGAAGCUGGCAAAUUCUAAAGCGGAUGAACCAUCUUCUUUGAGGAAUGAUCUAAAUUCAAAGACUACGUGAGUUUUGUAUUCCAUUAGUACAUAAUACAAUUUUGUUAUGUAACAUUCAUAUAUUUUUCCAACAUCUAUCUAAUUCUUUAUGUUUUUCUUAGGUGACGGGCGAGUUCACGGCUUUAAGAACAUUGAUCAAUAAAAACUUCAACAAAAUUUAUGAACAGAUUAAAGCAAAUCAACCCACUGUGGCACGUGAUGAUGGUAUUCAAAUGUCGCAUGAUGUCGGCUUGCAAGAUAAUCCAAAAGGCCAGCCAAAGAGUGAUAUAACUGGAGGAGAGAAUUUUGAGGUUAACAAUUUUUUAAACCUCUACUAGUUUAUGAUUCUUAUUUAUUCACAUAAAUCAUAUAUAAAACACCAUACAUAUUUUAAUAUACAAGUAAAUAUUUGUUAGUUCAUGAUUCUUAUUUAUUCACAUUAAUCAUCUAUAAUACACCAUACAUAUUUUAAAAUACAAGUAAACAUAUGUUAAUUAAGUUAUAAAUACCUAUUUAAUUUUAUAUAGAUAAAUAGAUGAACUGAGACAUGUAUGUAGUUGUAUAAACACUUAAUUUCAAGUUGUAUUUUGUUAAUAUAUAUUUUAUGUUCCAGAUGCAUACAAACUAAAGUUCAUCAUAUAAAUCUGAAUACACCAUCUGCAUACAACUGUUAAUCAUCACAUACAUCUGUAUACAUUACCAGAAAAACAUAAUACAGUCUGUUAAUUUUUAACCUUCUUAGAACACUCAUAUACAUCUGCAUACAUUACAUAAUACAGAUGGUAAUCAUGUUUGUGAUGAAGCAAUGGUUGAUGGAAAUAAUACAUCUGAGAUGUUUUGUAUCAUACUAUCCAAAUGUGUAUCCAAAAAAGUACAUGCAUCACAGUUUGAGUUGCUGGACCAUUUUCUUCCAAGUCAAAUUCCAGAAGCUAGAAUUGUGAUACACCAUGCAGCAAAAAAUCAACAGAUGCAACCCCAUUAGCCUCACAUAGGAAUCACUGUCCUAGUAGGUGGUAUUCUUCGCCUUACGAGUCAAACUUUGACUCCACAGGUUAGUAAGUUAUUUUUAAAAAAAAAAUGAAUUAUCAAUAUAUGAUCUCUUUACCCCUUGUUUACAAAAUUAAAUGUUUGUAUUCAUGACUUUCCUGAACAAUAGGCACCUCAGUUACGCUGAAUCCCAUAUUCGACAAGAAACACCUAUUUGAAGAUGAUUGUUUUAGGGACCACAUCCUACAUUAGUCAUUCAAGAGUAUGAGAAAUGGGUUCGUGAAGGUCUUCUUGCUAAACUUUACCAAAAGUAAGUUUUUUAGUCUAUUCAAUACAUUGAUAAUUUAAAUAAUAGACAUAUUGUAUUUUGAAAUUCAUUGUAGAAGUGAUUUGGAAGACCAUUGCAAAAAGAGUAAGUCAACACUGCAUAUAACGUUGGAUUUUGGCGUUGACCAAAUCACUUCAAAAAAAUGAUUUUACCUUCUCUCAUCUGACAGCAAAGUAUGAAAUGACAAUGUAAGACUCUAAGUCAACACUGCAUAUACCGUUGGAUUUUAGCGUUGAUCAAAUCACUUCAAAAAAUUGGUUUUACCUUCUCUCAUCUGACGGCAAAGUAUGGAAUGACAAUGUAAGGCUCCUUCCAAAUUUAGUAUGUUAGAUCUACACUUCUAUCAUAUGCAUACAUGUAUUUAACAUACAAUUGUACAAAUCUGUUUUUCAGCACUUAGUAGAAUACAUACAACUACAUGUGUUCACUUAUAUUGACAUCAUUUAAUAUUUUCUGAAUACCAUUCAGUGUAUUGACGUUGUGUAUUCUAUUUUAAAUGUAGCAUAUUGAUACCAUCUUUACUUAAGAAAGAAGGAAAAGUACAACCCAAUAGCCAACUUCAAGUAUAUAACUGUUGAUUGUAUAUUCAAGACAAAAUCGCUGAAAUAUUCGACAGGUAUGCUGAUACAGAUAGUAAUGCUAAUGUAGCCAAAGAAGAGGAUGUGGUAUGUGAGUACAUAAGGGGCUACAGAUUUCUAGCUAACGUACCAUGACAUACUGUGGAUAAUGUAUUGAUACCAGUCAACUUGAAGGACAAACGACACUGGGUAUUGGCUAUUGUCUCAUUCGAGGAGAGAUGUAUCAAAGUGUAUGACUCGUACAGAUUUGUAGGUCAUGAUGCCUAUGUAGCUUCUGAGUUUGAUAAGCUAGCUAAGCUACUACCUCUGUAUCUAUCAAUUAAUGGCUUUUAUAGAGAUAGUCAAGGCAUAGAUUGGUCUACUUACUCAGCAUACACUGACAGGUCACAUAACGAUCCCUUUGAAGUUUUUUCAUAAUAGAUCUGCCUCAACAGAAAGCUGGGAGCGUGUAAGUAUUCAAUCAUCAUUCUUGUAUGUUAUAUACAAAUCUAAUUGUAUGAAUUAUUUUUAAUUGUUUCAAUCAAUUAUUUUUUAGGGAUUGUGGGGUGCAUGUUGCAACAUAUGUAGAGUUUCUGAGCACUCUUGGUGAGAUUACACAAAUAACAUUUAAUUUCAAUCUACUCCGUCAAAGAUAUGGUGCCCUUCUCUGGAAAUAUGCUAUGCAGAAGAUAUACGUUGGUGCCAUAAGCAAUAAUGAAGCACCUUCAAAGAUUGCUAGGCAAAUAACGGAGUCAAAUUCAAAGACGCGGAUAGUAUUAGAGUAGCUUUAGGUUAAUGUAGUCUUGGAAUGUAGUUUGAAAAAUAAUACUGUUUUGAGUAGUUUUUUGGUGAACAUGGUAUUUACUUUGAAAAACUUAUCAUUUUAUCAAUUGUGUUAGUGCAUGACAAUUGCAACUUUUCAAUAGCUGUUUCACUGGUUUGUUCUUAAGUUUUCGUGCUUAUUCUUCAUUUGUAUUCAAGAGUUUAGUUGUAUUUAACUAUUUUAUUCAGUAGUAGUUAGUUGUAUUCAAGUGUUUUAUACAACUGUAUUCAGUUGUAGUUGGUUAUAUUUAGCUAUUUUAUACAGCAGAAGUUAGUUGUAUUUUGUUGUAUUCAAUAGUACUAUUCAGCUAUAUUCAGUUGAAUUUAGUUGUAUUCAAGUGUUUUAUACAACUGUAUUCAGUUGUAGUUGGUUAUAUUUAGCUAUUUUAUACAGCAGAAGUUAGUUGUAUUUUGUUGUAUUCAAUAGUACUAUUCAGCUAUAUUCAGUUGAAUUUAGUUGUAUUCAAGUGUUUUAUACAACUGUAUUCAGUUGUAGUUGGUUAUAUUUAGCUAUUUUAUACAGCAUAUAUUUAGCUAUUUUAUUCAAUUCUACUCAACUGUAUUAUUCAUAUGUAUUUCUCUUUAUUCAGCAAUAAUAUAUAUUAUGUAUCUUUCAAAUUCAGUUAAUAUUUGAAAAAGAAUAUCAAUUCAGAUUUAUUAAAUAGGUUAUUGUCUAGUUAGAAAAUAUAAAUUCAGACUUAUUGAAAUUGUUAUAACUUAGCUGAGUAUAUAGAUGUAUUCCGGUAAAUUCUGAAUAGUUAUGUAUAUAACUCAGGCACUGUCUAUAAUAAACUGUCAAAGUAUAUGUGGACAAGGUUAUAUUCGAUUGUAUCCAAUUAUAUGUAUUCAGAAAAUGAGAAUUUAUUACUUCAAAAUGUCAUCAUAAGUAUUGAAAACCCGUUGAAGCACCAAUACAUGUCAGAGUGUUAACUAUAUAUUACGUGGAGAAUUUAUAUAUGUUCGCUUGUUAUGUCCUCCCUGACCACAUAUGCUACAUGAAUGUUAAUUUUUCGGCUACAUCAAUUCACUUAAAGUUUUAUCGCGCUUCUUCUUUGGCCUUCUAGGAGGUCUUUUCCGUUUGGGUGGUAGUACAACCUCCUCUGCAAUAUGUGCUGGUAUAUUCCAGUCAUUUCUGUCCGGUAGCGGGUACACUGGCACAUUGUAUGUCAUUAUAAUUGUAUUUGGUUUGUAAUAUUUAGAGCAAUAUUCUUCUGGCAUUAGAAACUUGCUCUUUAAUAUAGCUCAAGCUGUGGGCAUGCAAUUCAUCAAUUUGGAACCUCCCACAAACACAUUUUCUCUCUAACAUGCAGACUGUGUAAUUCCUUCCAUCAUCGUUAACCGUAUGUAAGUAUUCAGUUGAUGGUACCACCUACAUUUAAAAAUAGAAAUAUAAGUUUACCAUCGUUCACCAUAUGUAAGUAUUCAGUUAAUGGUACCACCUAAAUUUAAAAAUAGAAAUAUAAGUUUUGAGCACAUAUACCUGAAUUACCAAAUGUAUAAUGCUGAAUUAAUAAGGUACAUACAAAUGGUGUAUUUGCAUAUAUAUGAAUACAUCAUAUAUUUAGACCAGCAGAAUAUCAACUGUGAGAAGUGCAGAUCUUCUCAAAAAUCUGUUGUACUUUAUGCAACAUGAUGCUAACAAAAGCAUUAGAAUCAUACAUAUUCACAAUACAUAUAAAAAUUACAUAUAAUACAGCGUUGUUAGUUGUAUUUUGAUGUAUUCCAAUAGUUUUUGGAGCAUGUUUUUAGUUAUAUUCAGUUGUAUUCAUAUUAGAUCUAUGGAAAAAUAUGUCUUUUAUGUGUUUGAAUAUAGUUGUAUUCAUAUGUAUUAAUGGUAGUUCUACUUAAAAAUGAUUGUAGAAAAUCUAGAGUCAUUGUCUCAUCUGUAUCGGAAUCAUGCAUUUCAACUUUUUCGUCUAUUUGCACAAUGUCGCCAUGAUUGAAUUCAGUUGUAUUUAUGCCAUUAAUUCAGAAAAUAAUUAAGCUAUAUACAACAAUGACAUUAAAAUAUAACUUACAUUCAUACGUGUAGACAUUGCCUCAUUCAAAGUCAGCAUCUCCUAGUAUUUUUUCCCAAGCAUCGUGUAUAUCUGUGUAGCUUCUUUGCGGUUACUACAAUUCCAACAUCCAAACAUCUUCCUAACUUCUUCGAGGAAGUCGUAUAUUGGGAAUUCUCUUGCUGAAACUAGUGCGACAUUGAUUGACUCAGCAAUGUUUGUCGUCAUUGUCCAUCACAUGUUAACAGGUGCAUAUAACCUAGCCCACUUUUCGUAACCAGCUAACUCUAAGUAUUCUUUCACCAUAAUAUCUACCUUCUCCACCAGACUGUCAAAUUCAGCUUGUGUGUAUGCUUUUGCCAUAGAGAAGUAUAUCUCCCUCAACUUGGCAUGGCUCUUUUUGAAUUUAUUAUAUACAUUGUUCCAUAGAUUCUAAAUACAAGCAAAAUGCGGUACAUCUGGAUACACUCUCGAUACAAAUUUAAUGAUACUCUCAUUUCUAUCUGAAAUGAUGCACAUCUUUUCUUUGUCACCAUAUGCUAUCUUGAAUUGCUCAAAGAACCACGUUCAAGAAGAAUCGUUCUCUGAAUCAAUAACACCAUAUGCUAGUGGCAAUAUAUGACCUACAAAUACACUUGAAUAUAGUUAUUUUUAAAACAUGUAUUUCAAUAUCGAAAUUAUUAAUAGAUUGUAUUAAAAUUCAGAUACUAACCUGCACCAUCCAAUGUGCUUGCCGAAAUGAAUGUUCCGGUGUAGUAAGAUUUUAGGUAACUUCCAUCCACAAUAACAAUGGGUCUACAAUGAUCAAACUCAUUUAUAAAGGCAUACAAGGAUAUAUACACAUACAUGAAUUCAUUUUUUGGCUAGUUUACCAUUCUAAUAUGGGAACCUGGAUAUGCCAUAUCCAUUGUAUAUAAGUAUCCUGGUAAGCUUUUGUAUGAAUCAGUUGGUUCCCCUCUCAAAAAAUUCAUUGCCUUUUCUUUAGCCCGCCACGCUAACAUGUAGCUCACAUCUACACCUAAAUCUGAUUUCACAUCAUCAAUUAUAUCCCUUGGGGUGUAUUUCCUCUUGUGGUUAGUAAGCUUAGGCCUUAUCAUACCCCUACAAGGCUGCUACUUGCCUGUCGCUGCUCAUACAUCUUGUCCUUCAGCGGACAUGUAUGGUUAUCAUUAAAUUCUCUCUCUUUGAAUAGUUAUGAUUUGUUAAUGCUUGAGGCCUUAAACCUCCAUUCACAAUCUACUGAAAUACAUAAUAAUGCAUAGCUGCAACGAAUUAAUCAUUUUACAUUUGAUAACAUGUGUUUACAGUAAAUAUAGCUCAUAUACAGACAAAUACAAUCUGACACAGAUACAUAUUUACAUAUAUAAAAAUUUGUAUACUACUGAAUUCCAUUAUAGUUAUAUGCGUUUAAAUACAAUGAAUACAUUUGAAUACACUUGGUUAUAUAUGCAUACGCUUAAUACCACAGUAGACCUUGAUAAGAAAUUAGAGCCCCUGAUGGAUAUUUAUACCAGUAAAAUAUAUUUGAAUAUAUGUAUUUAAUGACACUAAACAAACAUAUGUUUACUUCAAGUGUGAUCACCAAUAGGAAAUACACAAAUACGUAUAAAUACAACAACGUUAAACUUACAUCACCAUCCAAUAAUAGAAAAUACAAAGUAAAAUAUUUUUGAAUACAUGCAAACCUGACAACAUUAACUAUCAACCCGGAGUUGAAAACUUUGAGCUAUAGCAUAAUUCUCCAUCACCUCUUUCAAUGUAGCCUUAUCCUUAUAAAAUUGUCCAGCCAUAACCUCCUUUUGUUUAGUUUUUGAAAUUAUCAAAUCCUUGUGGAGUUCGAACUCUCCAAUCGCUUAUCCUGAAUUGACAAAUUCUAUAGCUAGUGUAUCAUCUGUAUCGCAAGCGCACCUUUCAACUGCUUCGUCUAUUUGCACAAUUGCUUCUCCUGAAUUGACAAAAUCUUGAGCCAUUAUCUCAUAUGUAUCGGAAUCGUACAUUUGACUGCUUUAUCUAUUUGCACAAUGUCGUCCUGAUUCAAACUACCUCCAGAUAUAAGAUCUUUUUCGAUAGUUGUUAUGCACAAGGGAUACAUUCUAAAUUUUCUGUUUUCUUUUUUAAAUUUUACAUAUACUCUAUAACCCAUAUCAUUGUGUAUUUUCAUUGGCGUGCAAUUUUUUUCUACUUUGUAUUGUAUUUUAGUGGUCUUUGAGCUCAAAUCUACGCCUAGUUGAUUAGAAAUUGAAGCAACCAGAUCAUUAAAGGAGGCAUACUCUUUUAUCAGUAUUCCCCCAAUUGAAAAUCGAUAUAAUUGUCCUCAUCAUUCCACUUUCCAAAAUGACGCAACAAAACUGUUAAACUUGCCAUAUGUAUAGAAGAAUUAUACCUUAUUUCGUAUAUAAUCUGUAUCAAUCGAAAAAAAGAAGAAGAGAAUGGCAGAAUAUCGAUCAUAUGUUGCUCUGCUAUUUCGCUUUUUUUGCAUUUUUGAGUUUCUUUCUUUGAGCAGAAUACAGAUUUAUGAGGGGUUGAUUUAGUUGUUGAGUUAAAUUAGGAGAAUAUCAUGUGAUUUAAUUUCCUUUCGUUUUUAACCAGUUUAACCUUUCAGAUUUUGCAUUGAUACAUUACUAUAUUUAAUGUUAAUGUCGCUUGAAUACAGCUAAAUACACAUCAAACUUAACUAGAAUUUCCGUUUUUACGCCUAUUUUUUGUUGUAUUAAUGAAUGCAACAACUUAAAUAGAUGAAAUACAUGGUAUAAAAAUAUAAAAAGAUAUCUAUAAUACGUAAUAUAGCAAAAGUAUCUCUAAAUGGCUAAUUAGAUCUAAAGAUGGUGCUUUAUAAAAAAAUUCCCUUUUAAAAUUAGACACAUAAAUUGAAAAAAAACACAAAAUAAACAAGAAAUUAAGAAAAUAAAAUCUGGGCCGAGGCCCAAAACCUGAUCUCGAAAUCCAUUUCGUACAUGGUUGAUCCAUCUUAAAACGACAGCGCCGCCACGUUCAAAACGACGCGAUAUUACAAAAUAAACGCCAAAACACUGUCGUUUCUAACCUCCAAAAACCCUUCUUAAAAGUAUAACUCCAAAACAUUUCAGCGUAGAAGAAAAUUUUCAUACCUGUGCAGUCUUCUCGAUUCCCCAAUCUCUCUGCUCUUCAUCACUUCACGGUAAGCACCCANNNNNNNNNNNNNNNNNNNNNNNNNNNNNNNNNNNNNNNNNNNNNNNNNNNNNNNNNNNNNNNNNNNNNNNNNNNNNNNNNNNNNNNNNNNNNNNNNNNNNNNNNNNNNNNNNNNNNNNNNNNNNNNNNNNNNNNNNNNNNNNNNNNNNNNNNNNNNNNNNNNNNNNNNNNNNNNNNNNNNNNNNNNNNNNNNNNNNNNNNNNNNNNNNNNNNNNNNNNNNNNNNNNNNNNNNNNNNNNNNNNNNNNNNNNNNNNNNNNNNNNNNNNNNNNNNNNNNNNNNNNNNNNNNNNNNNNNNNNNNNNNNNNNNNNNNNNNNNNNNNNNNNNNNNNNNNNNNNNNNNNNNNNNNNNNNNNNNNNNNNNNNNNNNNNNNNNNNNNNNNNNNNNNNNNNNNNNNNNNNNNNNNNNNNNNNNNNNNNNNNNNNNNNNNNNNNNNNNNNNNNNNNNNNNNNNNNNCUCCCCGCCCCACCCCCACCCCAUAUUUUUCUCCUCUCAUGUAGUAUAAAUUUAUGGAAAAUCUUGUGCCACCAUGUUUUUUAAUGGUUGAGAUGAAUUUUACAGUAAGGGUAUUUGAGUUAAUGCUUCUUAGAGACAGAUUAGCAUUUUACGUGCGAUUUGUACGGUUUAGAUUAAUUGUUUAUUCUUGUUUCCUUCAUAUCGAAGCGGCGGUUGAAUGAUUUGAUUUGAUUAAUUUUUAACCACUAUCUGUGUGAUUUGAAUGGUUAGAACUAAUGGGUCAUGAUCUGUUUGGUUCGUAUUGAAGCCAAGCUUGAUUCUUGGCAUGAAUAUUUUAUGCAGAGGUGGAUCUAAUGAAUAAGCUACGGGUUCAUAUGACUCCAGCAGCUUUAGCUUAGACAUUAUAUGUGUUAGAAAAUUCAUAAAUAAGUGUAAACAGUAGAUUUUGAACUCACAAAAUUAGAUUGGAUGUGGUAGAAUUCCGAAGUAGAACCCAUAAAAUUCAAAUCUUUGAUCCACCUCUAAUUUUAUGGUAUAGGUUAAAGCAUCCUGAAGGGCUCUGUUUAAUUGAUUUUAUUUGUUUUAACGUUAUCUGUGGGAUUUGAUUAGUUAGGAUUAAUGGGUCAUCGUUCCUUUUGUUCCCGUAUCAACUGAUUGAUGUACACGUGGAUAAAAGAGAAAUGCAUCAAAUAAUGUGUAUAGGGAAGAUUGGAUUAACGGGUAAUUGCCUUUUUUUCAUACCAAAGCGAUUUCAUGAACGAAAUAUUAUGGAAGUGAUUGUCUCCUUGAUUUGAGGAAAUGGAAUAGUGUUAAUAGUAGCUAGUUGCUUCGUUUACUGAUCUCUUUGUGAUUUGGUGUUGAUAUUUGUGUUGUUCAAAAAGAAGCUUCACCAUUAAAUGUAGAACAUAUAUUUAUAGGAGCAUUUGCAGAAUUUUAAGAUGGAUUAAAAUAUUGAUUUGGAAGGAACUGUUGAUCUAGUUGUGCCACGUGUAUAGGUUUAAACACUCAGAUUUGAUAUUCAAAAUGAACCUUAUAACAAAAACAAAACGAUAUAAAACCUCCCAAAGAAUGAUCAAAUUCUAUUGAUGGUAUAUCUUGAAAUACUAUAUGAAGAGCUAUGAACUCCUGGAAGUUCUUGCAGCAUAUCAUUGGUGUAUUUGGGGAAAAAUUUGAAGUCACUUUGGUCUGUGCAUAUGUUUCUUAUUAUCUUCUUUAUCCUUUUUUCUUUUCCCCCUCUUUCAUGUGGUAAUCCAGUUGAUUUCUAAUGGCUUGCAGACGUGAACUAAUUUAGUGUUGGUGAUGAGUUCCGCUCUUUAUUCUAGAAUUGAUUUAUGAUAUGUUUUAGUAGAACUGUGGAAAGAAGAGGAUUAAUAGAUGGUACGCAAUGUCCCCCUACCUUUGAGGAACUAAAAUGGGAAAGAUACAAAACAUACUCAUGUUAAUAUUUCAGCCCAUCCCAAAGGUCUGGUAGAAAGAGGAAAUAGAUGUCUUCUUUCGUUUCACUUGUACCGAGUAUCUUGAACCGAAGGAUAUAUGCUUUUUCUAAGGUUUGUAGUUCAACAGCUUAUUUCCCUCCACACUACCCUUUGCCUUGCAUUUCUGAAUAAACAUUUUGUUAGAGUAAUAUAAAUUAAAAUAGUUUCAGUUUUGAAUGUUUGAAGUUUGUAGCUGUAUGUACGUGUAUUUAGAGAUUCAAAUGGUAUAUCAUACUGUAGGCUUAGAAGUGCUCAAUAUUAUUAAAAUGUAGCUUGAGGAAAUCUGUACAUUAUACUUCAUUGCCUCGGAAACCACUUGAUAGUGGCAGAAAGCUUAAACAAAGACUGUAUCUUGAGAUACUAAUUUGUAUAGCUUGAGAUAAUCUCUAAAUUGUACACCAUUGCUUUCGAAGCCUCAUGAUGGUUUUAGAAAGAUCAUAUACGAGCUGUCUUGAGAUGCUAUUUAUAUAACUGAAUGCUUUUAUGUUUUUAUAGAUAAGAAUUUGUUCUCUUACUUGGUGGUUUUAGGUUAUCUUCUAGUCUUAGGAGCUCGAAGAUGGCUACCAAGCACAUCGUUGGUUCUAUUGUCGCAUCCUUUGCAGUUGCAUAUGUUUGUGAUACUGUUAUUUCUGACGGGAAAUUAUUUGGAGGCAAGUUCUGGUUCUUUUUGUUAGUUCUUUUGAUCAUGAAAUUUUCUUUCUAAGCUGAGGGUCUAUCGGAAACAGCCUAUCUACCUUCACUAGGUAGGGGUAAGGUCUACGUAUGCACUACCCUUCCUAGACCCCACCUGUGGGAAUAUAAUGGGCUUCUUGUUGUCGUUUGAUCAAGAAAUAGCCUGUGCUCUGCUGACAGUUACUUGUGGUGUUUGGAAACAGGUACUACUCCAAGCACCGUUGCUAACAAUGAUUGGUCGAAAGAAACAGACAAGAAAUUCCAGGCGUGGCCUCGCACUGCUGGUCCCCCAAUCGUUAUGAACCCCAUCAGCCGACAGAAUUAUAUUGUUAAUCUUGAUUGAGGAAGUUCAGUUAUGUUGUUUUUGUGUCUGCCAGAAAAGAAUUCAUUUGAAAUUGAAACCAUUUUUGUGUUUGAGCAAAGGAUAUGCUCUGAUGCUGUAUUCAGACGAUUCCAAGUCAUUUUAUCUCACUUUCCUUGUAAGAAGGGUUGACAUGUUAUAAUAAAAUUUUUUUGUUCAGUUCGUGUAUCCAUGAGUAUUCAUUCCCUUUGCAUAUAAUGGAUCGGUUUGUGAGGGAUUUAUGAUCAAUUCUGCAUAAUUGAGUUUUUCUUUUAAAUUCUGCUCAUCCCCUUUGUUGGAACUAUUGUUCCUUUGAUGACUCAAACCCGCCAUCUUUGGGUUGUAGUUGGAAGGUGCUGACUAUGUAUGUCAAUUCUGGGCUAUCUGCACUACUUUGUUACAGAAAGCCACUGAAUAAUUUAAUUAACAAAUAAGUCAGUUAACUUUACUUAAAUCUCACAAAAAAUAACUAAAUUAUUACCUUCAUUUAUUUUCUCCAAGUGACUGAUAUUUAGCUAAAGUUGAGUUACUUUUUUAUUACAAAAAUAUAGUUUAGUACUUCCUCAGUUUUGAAAAGAUUGGCAUUAUUUUUUUGUUAGUCUGUUUCAAAAUGCGCCAGUUAUUAUGAACUCAAAUAUAAAAAAAAAUGGAUUUAGAAGGCUUGUUCAAAAGAAAAAAAGACGUAGCCCUAGUGGGAGUAGUGACUAGCGUUAUAGGUCGUCGGGCGACCGGAAGGUUGCCACGAGUAAGUAAGUUUGUGGAGCUGCUGUGAUGUUUAGAGAUGCUGCUGGUGAUUUUUUGUGUGCUGCUACCCAAUUUUGAUUGACACUUUUCAGUUUUUUUUAAUAGAAAGUAUUUAUUAUUAUAAAAAUGUAAUGACAGAUUUAAGAUUUAAAAGUUUUAUGAUUAUGCUAACCACAUAUUAAGUUCUUUAUUUUUUUUAUUAAAAUUUAUGUUAAGUCAAAUUAAAAUAAUCUUUUUAAAACGAAUAGAAUAACUUUUAAGAUACUUAUCUAAAGUAGAGUUUAUAUUUCGUAGGGGAAAAUAAUUUAGUGAUUUCGAUAUAAUAAAGUGAAAGUUGAAUGACUCAAAUCAAGAAUCUAAAUAUCCAUGAAGAUCACAAUGACUCGAUAAAGAAAAUGAAAAAGAGAGAAAAAGUUUGGGCCAUUUUAUCAAACAGCAUGCUAUUGACUGUCAUUGCCAAGAAAACGGCAAUCCGUACCCGUUUGAAUGAGCUUAUUUUAAGUAGUUUUUAAGCCAUAAAUUAGAAUUUUUAGCUUUCGGCUUAUUAUCGUUAUUUUAGCUUAAAAAGAAGUAUUUAAAAGUAUUUUUUUAUUUUAUACAAACAUUACAAAGUGACUUAAAUGCUAUUUUGGUUUAAAAGCACUUAAAACAAACCAAUCCAAACGGACUCCAUGUCCCAAAAGGAAAAAACUUUUUCUAAAAUGAAUGAGUUAACUUAAACUGAGGUUCCCAACUGUAAAAAGAAAAAAAAAUCACAAGGAUUCGACCCAAAAAAAAUGAAAAAUAGAAAAACAACAAAAGUUGGACCAUUUUAUCAACAGUACCCUUAUACAAAAACGAAACCACAACAUGUAUUUCUCCAACAAAGACUUCUUCUGAAAAAUGAAUAAAUUUCACAUAUUUACAUUAUUUACCCAUCAAGUUAUUUAAAAGAUAAUUACAGCUAAUCAUUUAUAGAACAAAUCAUAUAUAUCAUAUAUCUACAACGUAAUUAAUUGGUUACACUAUUUGUAUAACUGAAUUUAUCAUCGGAAGUUACUAUCAUUUAUUUUAGGUUAUGAAUCAAUGCUAUUAAUGCGAAUUUCCCAAAGUCAUCUUUUAAUUUACUUAAUUUUGUGAAUUUGCUUUACACCGACAUCCCGGAAAUAACUUAUCUAUCCCUCCAGAAUAAGGGUAAGGUUUGCGUACAUUUGAUCCCCAGACCCCAUUGAGAUAGGAUUCUACUAGGUUGUUGUUGUUGUUGUUGUUGUUGUUCAUUUUUAAAUUCACCGUCAAUGCCUAGAAUUUAAACUCUUCAUAGAAUUCAGAUCAACAACCUGAAAAUAAUGAAAAUUACCUUCUACGACAUGUUAAAAUAUACCGAUAAUACAAAAUUUUGUUAUACUGUCAUUAAACGCAAGAGGUUGUGAGUUCGAGUCUCCCCAAGAGCAAGGUGGGAAGUUCUUGGAGGGAAGGAUGCCGGGGGUCUAUUUGGAAACAGCCUCUCUACCUACGGGUAAUGGUAAUGUCUGCGUACAUACUACCCUCCCCAGACCCCACUAAGUGAGAAUAUACUGGGUUGUUGUUGUUGUCAUUAAAUGCAACAUAAAAAAGACCAAACAAAAACCAUUUGGCUUUAAGUAGUACAAAGUGUUAUCCGUGCAAUGAAACCAAACAUGUGGCUUUAAAUUUGAUCUUACCAAAAAAAAAAAGAAGAAAAGCAGAAUAAGAAUCUAGAAAUGGAGGAGAACAACAGUAAAAGUUCAUAGCUGGUUUGUGUUACAGGUAGUGCAGGAUAUAUUGCUUCUUUUCUGGUGAAGAAACUUUUGACAAAAGGGUACAAAGUUCAUGCCACCCUGAGAAACUUAGGUAUGUAAUAUUUAUUUUGCUUUUUUAUCCAUGAAUUAUACACUUAGUGGAAUGGGCAAGAUCCCUAGAAUCGUAACCAGAAGACACGAGUUCGAUUUCAGAGCCGAGGGUCUAACAAAAACAACCUCUCUAUCUCACAUAAGGUAGGGGCACCGGGUACUGUAUGCGUACACCCAAACUUCCCCAACCCCCACCUAUAGAAACACAAUGAGUAUUAUGUUGUUGUUCUUGUUGUAUUGAGUUCGACUAUUGCAAAUCAAAGGUGGAUCUAGGAUUUCUAAUACAUGAGUGCACUACUAAAUAAAAGGAGAAAAAAUGAAUCAAGAGUGAAUUGAUCACUAUUCCUCUCGGUAAAUAAUUCAACCUUUAACUAAGCGCCCAUUCAAUCUUCUUAGAGCAUAGGUGCCAACAGUUAUUAUUAUACCAAUUUUAGAAAAUAUGUAUAUUAAAUAUCUAAUUUUACGAAAAGACCAUGGGUUCACGUGCCCCAUAUUUUGCUUAACAUCCCUCCCUGUUGCAAAUGGAAAAUUUUCUCCUCCCCUGACCCCACCUAUGGGUUCACACCGAAUAUGUUGUUGUUGUUGUUGUUGAACCAAACUUGGUCUAUCGGAAAUUGUCUCUCUACCUCACACAAGGUAGGUGUAAGCUAUGCAUACAUCCUAGCCUCCGCAGACCCUACGUGUGGGAACACAAUGAGUAUGUUGUUCUUGUUGUAUCGAGUUCGAUUCUUGCGAAUGAAAAACUUUCUCCUCCCCAACCCCACCUAUGGGUUCACACCGGAUAUUAUGUUGCUGUUGAAUUGUACUCGGUUUAUCGGAAAUAGUAUCUUUACCUCAUACAAGGUAGGGGUAAGGUAUGCGUAUACCUUAUUCUUCCCGGACCCCAUCUGUGGAAAUACAAUAAGUAUGUUGUUGUUGUUCUUGUUCUACCGAGUUCGAUUCUUGCGAAUGAAAAAUUUUCUCAUCCCCAACCCCAUCUAUAAGUUCUGAAGGGGUAUGGUGCUAUUGUUGUUAUUAUCAAGUUCGAUUCUUUCCAAUGAAAAAAUUUCUAGUAAGGAACGCUUUCUCUUUUAAUGAGCCUUAUGAGGCGCGAAUCCACAUUAAACAGGGUUAAUAUUGAAAUUGAACAAAAGAAAAUUAAAAUUUUGAUAAUUUUGCAGAGGAUAAAUCAAAAGUAGGCUUGUUGAAGAGCUUCCCAAUGCAGAGGAAAGAUUGAAGUUAUUUCAAGCUGAUAUCUACAGACCAGAAGAGUUUGAGCAAGCAAUUCAAGGCUGUGAAUUUGUAUUCCAUGUUGCCACUCCCUUGUUACAUUCUGAGGGAUUUCAGGUACCCAUUUCAUUUUCUUUUUUAUAAUGGUGUUGUUCGAGUCAACUUGUACGUUCCUUGAUAAAAUUACCAAGUUCUUAUUACUUUCCAUCAGUGUAUGUAUGUAUUUUUAUUUUCUAAUUUAACAGUGGUGUUCGAAUCAAUUUACGUGCACCUCAACUGUUUCGCCUCAAACUUGUUACCGUUCACUAGCACAUAAACCAUUUAUAUAUUUUUUUUAAACGGUGGAGUUAGGCAGUAACAAAGUUAGAAAUUUCGCUAAAGGUGUUCAAGAUUUAAUAAAUAUUUAUAAGAAGUGAUUUUUGAUUUUGUAUACGCAGUAUGGAUUUUUACAUACAUAAUACUUCAUCCCUCAGUUUCAAAAAGAUUGGCACCAUUACUAUUUGGGAAGUCUACGAGGUUGUUCUUUGACCACAAUAACAACAACCCAGUAUAAUCCCACUUAGUGGGGUCUAGGGUAUUAGAAUAUAUUGUACAGUUCUAUAGUUGGUAGGAUUUGAUUUCCUUUAUUAUUGUACAGNNNNNNNNNNNNNNNNNNNNNNNNNNNNNNNNNNNNNNNNNNNNNNNNNNNNNNNNNNNNNNNNNNNNNNNNNNNNNNNNNNNNNNNNNNNNNNNNNNNNNNCUAUAGUUGGUAGGAUUUGGUUUAUUGUACAGUCCUAUAGUUGGUAGGAUUUGGUUUCUCUCUGUACUCUAUAUAUACCUUUAUAAGCAAUAUAUUUUGUGAGAAGCCUCAAACCAAUUCACUUCUCCAAAACUUUCUACAUGGUAUCAUACACCAGUGGCUUAUCGCCAAACAAACCCUAAUUUUUUUUCCCCUACCCGCUGCGGCGGCUGCACUAAUCGGCAGCCCGCCGCCGCCGACCUUCUACAUAAUCGGCACUAGCAAGGUAUUUCUUCUAAAUUCAGAAAAUUAUUCCUUUUUUUUUUCCAUUAACAUUUUUUUUACUUUGUAAAUCUACAACAACAAUGGAGGGUUCGUCUUCUAGAAGCAAACAUCUCUCUGGCAUCUUGCCGCGCCGUCGCUGCACUAAUCGGCAGCUCGCCGCCGCCGCUGCACUAAUCGGCAGCCAGCCACCGCCGACCUUCUCGGCCCACCGCCUCUCUCCGGCAUAUUGCCGCGCAGGCGCUGCAUUAACCGGCAGCCCUCUCUCUCGACGUCGUUCAGCGCCUCCUCUCCUUUGCCUCGCGCUUCAUGGCCGCUACGACUUCAAACGCUCUUCUCCAGCCGAUUGCCAUCAAUGCAACGGCUCAGAUCCCACUCAAAUUAGAUUCCACUAAUUACCUGACGUGGAAAUUCCAAUUCCGAACCCUUCUUACGGGUUACAACCUCCUCGGCUUCUUGGAUGGAUCGAAGCCGUGCCCACCAGCCACUAUCGUCGACNNNNNNNNAGUUCUAUAGUUGGUAGGAUUUGAUUUCCUUUAUUAUUGUACAGUCCUAUAGUUGGUAGGAUUUGGUUUCUCUCUGUACUCUAUAUAUACCUUUAUAAACAAUAUAUUUUGUGAGAAGCCUCAAACCAAUUCACUUCUCCAAAACUCUCUACAUAGGUAUGGUAGUGUGUACGCAGACCUUACCCCUACUCUUGGACAGAGAUGCUGUUUCCAAAUAGACCCCCGGCAUCCUUCCCUCCAAGAACUUCCCACCUUGCUCUUGGGGAGACUCGAACUCACAACCUCUCUCUUAGAAGUGGGGGUUACUUACCAUCAGAGCAACCCCUCUUGUCUUUGACCACAUUUUCUUAAAUAUUUUAAAAUUAUGAAUUAUUUUGACUUAUAAUACUUUUUACCUAGUUUCCGAAAAUGUAAAUUUUAUUUUCAAAAACUUGAAGAAUUAUGUCCAAAUUCAUAGUCAAAGUUAAGUACUUUGACCCUCGUAUCCGAACUAUGCCGAUCUUUUGAAAUCGAGGAAGUAUAAGUUUUCGAUAAAGGGUGUUCAACCGAUUAUACUUUAUUGUAUGUAGCCACUAGAGUUAGGUUAAGCUUUUACACCUAUACUAUAUCACCGAGUACCUGAUCCCCCAUGAUUCUCACCUAUUACAUUGAUUGUUAGGUUCCACCUUAGGGCUUGUCGAAGCUAUAUUCGAUGAAAGGUGAUCAACUGAACACCCCUAGCCUAAAAUUUAUCCUGUAUAUAUAUAUAUGUCAAAUAUUAUUUUUAUACAUAUAGAGAUCAAAAUCUUGAAUUUGAGUGAUUUAUUUUUGUGGGAUUGAAUGUAACAGUACAAGAAUAAGGUAGAAGCAACAGUUGCUUCAGUGAAAAAUAUUGGAAUGGCUUGUAUAAAGAGUGGGACAGUGAGGAGGCUUAUUUAUACAGGAACUGUGCUUUCUGCUUCACCAUUGAAGGAUGAUGGCAAUGGUUUCAAGGAAUUGAUGGAUGAAACAUGUUGGACACCUCUCAAUAUCCACUUUGCUUUUAGUGACGAUUUUCUUAGGGUAAAUAUUUGUUUCUCAUUAUCUUUUCUUUUCAAUUGCAAUAAAAGAUAACAUUAAAAACAUGCUUAAAAAUUGAACAAGUUUUGUGUACUAUAUAAAACUGUUGAAAUGAAGGGAGUUUUGGAGCAAUGUGACCGAUAGGACAUGGGUUCGAGCUGUGAAAGUAGCCACUAAUGCUUGCAUUAAAUAGGUUGUCUACAUCACACCCUUUAGGGUGCGGACCGUUACCAGAGCCUGCGUGAACGCGGGAUACUUUGUGCACCAGGUUGUUCAUAAAUUAUAGAAAUACAAGCAAGAUGGGGUGGGGCAGGUGAGGCUUACUCUUCAAAGUUUUAACCUGCACUGUCCCGUCUUGCUUGCCUCGACUUUUUUAAAAAAAAACAAAUUAACCUAAAUAGCGGAUCAUAAUUUUUUCAUAAUCCCAAAGUUCUAGCACGAUAGACAUGUUCAUAGCAGGUAAAAAGGCGCGAAUUCAGAAAAAUACGUGUUUGGCCCGUGAAAAGGAUCAGACUCGCACUUGAAAAUGACAUUUUCAUUUUGAAUGGUAUAGGUUUAUGUGGAAGCAAAGACAACGGCUGAGAAAGAAAUCUUGAACUUAGGCCAAAAUGGUUUUGAGGUUGUGAGCUUAGGUUCUGGUAUUGUGGGUGGAGAUACACUCUUGUCAAAUAUUUCAUCAAGUAUGGCUGCUAUAUUAUCAGUUGUAACUGGUGAUGAAAUUUCUUACCAACAACUCAAGUUCAUAGAAGAAGUUGAUGGAAAAGCUCCAAUUGUACACAUUGAAGAUGUUUGUGAAGCUCAUAUUUUUGGCAUGGAAACUGCUUCUAUAAAUGGUCGUUUCUUGUGCGCGAGCGCCUUCGUUUCUUCUGCAGAAAUUGCCAGUUAUUACAAAGAAAAAUACCCAGAAUUUCAUGCCAACCAAAGGUAAUUAUUAGAACUCUAUCUUUCAAUUGAACUUUCUUUCAUUGAUGUAAUAGUUUAGUUGUUGUUGUUGUUGUUUUCUGUUUAUUUGCUUCAUUUUUACUUCUCUUGAGUCGAGCGUCUUUAGGAAACAGUCUCUCUACAGUCAUACAAUAGGAGUAAGGUUUGCGUAUACUUUACCCUCACCAGACCCUACUUGUGGAAUUUCACUUGGUUUGUUGUUGUUUGUUUGUGUGUUGUUGUAGUAGUUGUUGAAUUUUCUUUGUGCAACAACAACAAACCGAAUGUAAUCCCAAAAUAUGGGGUCUGGGGAUAGAGUGUACGCAGACCUUACCCCUACCUUGAGAAGGUAGAGAGACUGUUCCGAUUGACCCUCCGCUCAAGGUAAAAGAGAAAAAGAAGCAGACACAACAAAUAGUAACAACAAAUAGUAACAACAACGGAAUAAUUUGAUAAAGGGGUAGAAUAAUUGAGGCAACCGAACCGAUAUAUAGUAAAAGAAAUCUACGGAUAAUAAGGUAUGAAAAUACGAGAAUUGUACUAAUGCUAUCAACAUGUAAAGGAGACUUGAAUUUUCAUUGUGCAUGCUUGGUAUUUGAAGGCUAUAGAAUAAGUAAAACAAGAGUUUAACUGAUAUGCACUUAGAACGCUAAAAGUUUUUACACUAUCAGGUCAGUUAAAAGUCAGUGACAAGUUAACUCGUAUACAGCGAACAUGGAACUACUUUAACAUAGCAAACUUUAUAGCUCCAACCUAGUCAACAGCCCCUUUGUAUAAGUUAGGUUGCUGGAUACGAGAUCCUCGUAGUAGGCUGGACCAAGAUCCAGUGCCUCGAACUUCUUCAUCUUAUAUGCUGCCUUCUCUAAGUAUGAGGAGGCGGUAUCGAUAUAUUCUUGUCAAGCUUUUGCCAGGAAGUAAGACGAUUCCUCUUUCGAUACUCAAUUACGUUAGAGUUCAGCUAGCUCGUCUUUGUCUGGCAGUUUAAGCCUUUCUAUAGUCAGAAACAACACUGAUAGUGUAAACUUUUUCGACACUAUUGGUGGGUAUAUAAAUUCGUAAAAGUAGACUAAAAUGCUCACUUAUAUAUACUUAUAGGAUCAUUUCUGCUAACGGUGAUAAUUUGAUUUUUUUUUUCAUUUCUUCACAUUAAACAGGUACUUGGAUGAUCCAAAGAGAGAAGUGAAGUGGGGAUCAAAGAAGCUUAUAGAUAAGGGUUUUGUGUAUAAAAAAGAUAUGAAGAUCAUAUUGGAUGAUAAUAUUAGCUGUGCUAAGGAAAUUGGAGUUCUCAACCUGCCACCAUCCGCUUAAUGGGAACUUUAACUUCCAUUUAUGGAAAAUGCAGACUCUGUAAUCAGCGUUUGUACCAAAUCAUAUCAACUUAUCAUGGUUUGUACACUGUUAUAUUCUGUGCACAUUAUGUUCUAAGUAUGCAUUGAAGAAGGGCUAGAAAAAUGACUUGGAUUCCAAACAUCUAAUGAAUCGACAAAUAUACGUGAUAGAUUACUUUUUUUCUUUUGGUAACCGAGAAAGCCCUGAGGGUCAGUGACACAUGUUUGAAACUUGGUGGAUGAUGGGUUCGCUCUUCUAACCUUCUCUAUUUAAAGCUUUUGUGUGGGGCAGAGUUUGAACCCAUGACAGGCGUCUAACCUACACAUCAUGUAUUGCCCUCUUACCUGCUAGACUAAUGCAAAUUCUUUGCCCCCAAAGGUCAAAUCUAGCUUCUUGGGUUGGGAAGUAGCAGUAUUUUGGCCUUCUCCUGGAGCUUGAACCAACAGAUACAACAAACAACAACUAGUCCUAAACAAAGUUGGGGUCGGCAAUAUAAAUACUCACUUAUUUCUUUAAGCUAUACUCAUAUCAUCCUCAUGCCAAAAUAAACUAAUAGUAGUAGUGAAAAUAAGUUAAACUUGCACCAACAGAUAUUUUGCUAAAAUAAAGGACAAACUAGCAUUCUUUCUUUUAUAACGUGGGGUAAGGGCCAGUUUGACCGCACCUCGACUAUUUUACACCUACUACCUCCCACCACUACAGGUACCAGAUAAUUCUGUCCACCAAGACUAGGCAGAUAAGAAGAAAUCAACUAGUAUUUUUUGUCUCUGCUAGGCUUUGAAGAACAAACUAGUAUUCUCAUAAGAUAUCAGCUAGAAACAAAAGCAGUUACAACAACAACAAACCCUAUGAAAUUCCACUAGUGAGGUCUCGGGAGUGUAGUGUGUACGCAGACCUUACCCCUACCUUAUGAAGGUAGAGAGAUUAUUUCCGAAAGACCCUCGGCUCAAGAACUAGAAACAAAAGAUGUUAAAGGCCUUAUAUAGUGAGUUACUUAUCUCUUAAUAUUGAUGGAAUAAAAUAGAAAAUGAGUUGCAUGUUAAAUGGGUGCUUUAACUAUGAUUAAAUCUAUACUUAAUUUGGAAGCAAUGUACCAGAAAAGAGGACAGGAAAAGGAAAGUUAAAUGCUAUUUGCAAACAUAUCAUCCUAGUAAGAUAUUGAUCGGUUUCACCAACAUUUAAAUGUUUUGGAGAAAGAGAACUCUUGAUCAAAUGAUAGAAGCCCCAGUAGAAAACAGUAAGACCAUCAGUAAACCAGCUAUCAGCGACCAGUAUAUAGAGUUCGACCAUUCUGUCCUCUCGACUAAGUAUGUCGUACACUUGCAUUUUCACAAGAGCAUUCAAAUGAAGGAACAAAAUCAAGACAUACAUUGAUGUUGCGAACUUCAUUUAGCUUUCUGUGAUUUCUUGCAGCAUUUCUACCACCUUCUUCAUCUUUGGUCGUUUUGCUGGUGUCACGUCAGUGCACAGCAACGCAACCUUUAAUGCUGCUAACAUUUCCUUUCUCCAAGAAAAGGAAAUGGUGCUGAGCCUUGCAUCAAGUAUCUGUUCCGGUGUUUCCCCCCUUGUAGGUGCACCAUGUACCCAUUUAACCAAAUCUAUUCCUUCACCAAAAUCUUCAUCAACAGGUGACCGGGUGGUAAGGAUCUCGAGCAAAACAACCCCAUAACUAUAGACGUUUCCAGACCUUUAGCGCUGCUAGCAUUUCCUUUCUCCAAGAAAAUGAAAUGGUGCUGAGCCUUGCAUCGAGUAUCUGCUCCGGUGUUUCCCCCCUCGCAGGUGCACCAUGUACCCAUUUAACCAAAUCUAUUCCUUCACCAAAAUCUUCAUCAACAGGUAAUUGGGUGGUCAGGAUCUCGAGCAAAACAACACCAUAACUAUAAACGUUUCCAGGAGCUGUUACUUGCAUUGUGUACGCAUACUCUGUUGAGAGAGAAAAAACUAGUCAAUACCAAAGGUACAAUCUCUAUAAACGGAAAAAAGAGAACGAUAAGUAUGUGUUUGAAUUAUAGAAUACCUGGCGGAAUAUAUCCAAAUGAGCCGGCAACAGCACUGAUACUUGCAGUCCCUCUAGAUGGAUCUAGAAGCCUAGAUAUUUCAACUUCACUAACCAAAGGCCUGAAAUUAGAAUCGAGAAGCACGUUCCCCGAAGAAAUGUCAAGAUGGAUGAUAGCCACGUGAUGGAGGAAUGCCAGUCCUUCUGCAACUCCAACGGCAAUGGCAAGUCUUGUUGGCCAGUCCGGUUUAUAUUCAGUUUCCUGGCCAGAGUUAUGAAGAUAUUGAGCCAACGUCCCAUUGGCAUAAUGUUGAUGCAACAGAAGAACGGCGUCUUCAUAGAUCCCAAACCCGAUAGGCCUAGCCAGAUUAUCGUGAACGAGCUUACUAAGCUUUUCGAGCUCUCUGAUCAUCUUACUCUGGUGAUGAAUUAUAGUUCUGUCCAUAGACUUUAGCUUCUUCACCGACAAUAUCAUCCCGGAAGGCAUGUCUGCUCUAUAGAUAGUGCUGAAAGUACCAACACUAAUCUUAUUUGAGUCUUUCAUGACUGCUUUUACAACAGCAUCAAAAUCAAUUGCUUGCUUUAGAUUGUCAACGAAGACAUUUCCCGCUAGUAUCACUGGUUUGCUAGAAGUUUCCUCAAUGGUAAUUCCAGCUUCUUUGGCAGCUGCUUUCUCUUGAUUUUCCCUCAUCAUGAACAGCAGAACAACCACUGUAACAGAUACAAAAACUGCCAAACCAGAACCAAUGACAGCCAAAACGAUUCGGUAAGAAACCUUGUGACCGUAAAUGCUGUGGUUAUAACUAUUUAGAUCUCCACAACCACCACUCAAGGGAUCACCACAGAGGCCUUUGUUUCCAAGAAAGCUUGAAUUAGGACUUUUCUGAAAUGGUGCAAAAGUAGGUAUUGGUCCAGUGAAUUGAUUGCUUGAAAAAUUAACCUCUAUCAAACUCUGCAUGCCCUUCAACGCCGACGGAAUAUUCCCAGAUAGCUGAUUAUCAGAGACAUCCAAAGAAACCAACUUGUCCAGUUUUCCUAAAUCUUGAGGCAAUUGACCACGGAGAUGAUUAUGACUCAAAUUCAAUGAAAUCUGCAAGUUCUUCAUAUGACCAAUCUCAGAAGGGAUACUUCCAAUUAGUUCAUUACUCCCCAUUUGCAACUCAAGCAAUUUCACACAGUUCCCUAUCUCAUGAGGUAUCUCUCCUCUAAUUGAGUUCUCCCCCAACAGCAAAUAUUGCAAUCUUGAGGUAUUGCAUAUAUCUGCUGGUACCGUGCCGUUAAACUUGUUGUUGCUCAAGUCAAGCUUAUUGAGAUUCUUGCACUUAAGAAUUGAAGUUGGAAUCUCACCAUAAAGGUUAUUACCAGAAACAAUCAAUUCUUGAAGAUUGUUGAGGUCACCAAACUCAGGAGGAAUAGUUCCAUAAAACUCAUUCGACGCUAAAUUAAGCAGUGUAAGAUUAGAGCAUUUGGCAAACUCUGAGACAAUUUCACCAGACAAACUGUUACUAUCUGCUUCAAAAUAAGUAAGACUACUGAUAUUCCCAAUUGCUUUAGGGAUGCCACCGAUCAACUCGUUAUUCCCAAUUCUAAUACUUGAAAGGCCUUUACAAUUCCCAAUAGACUCAGGAAUGGUUCCAUUCAACUUAUUCUGAGUCAAAACCAGAAAUUCAAGAUUUCCUUUAGCACAAAUGCUCUCAGGAAUAGUGCCUUGAAGCUGAUUUGAAUGCAAGUUCAACAAAGAAAGCUCAGAGUUUAAGCCUAAGUUAAAUGGAAUAUCACCACUAAACUCAUUCUCAUAAGCUGCAAGAACCUUAAGAUUGGUCAAAUUACCAACCCAAAAUGGAAUAGAACCAUUUAAACUGUUGGUAGAAAUUUGAAAAUCUUGCAAAUUUUCCAACCCCUUAAGCUCAUUAGGUACAACUCCAGUAAGCCAAUUGUUUGAAACGUUCAAUGCCUUAAGGUUUUUAAGCUUACCUAAUUCACUAGGAAUUGAGUUUUCAAACUUAUUAAAAGACAAAUCAAGAUACUGAAGCAUAGACAAAUUCCCAAAUGAUAGUGGAAUUGAACCAUGGAAAUUAUUAUGAGAAAUGUCUAGCCAUUUCAGUUCUUUGAGCUCAGAUAUUAGAGUCACAUUACCUUGUAAUCUAAAACCAGAAAGAUCAAGUCUUUCUACCAUUGAAUUGUUUGAGCUGCAACUAAUGCCAGCCCAAGAGCAAAAAUCAGUUGUGUUCACACCCCACCCUGGUAUUAAUAGCUCUUUUCCAAUUGCUUCCACUACAUUCUGAUCAUUAAAAACUAUUUGGGAAUCCCCAAGUUGAAAUCUUAAUAAUAACAACACUACAAACACAGUUAUUAACAAACACAAAGGUGCCAUUUUGGGGGGUUUUUUCCCUUCAAGAAACCACCUUUUCUUCAACUUCUUCUUUUUUUCUUCCCUUUUCCCUCUAAAACAACCAAAUGGAACAAUCAAGAAGCCAUUAAUGAAGAAAAUGGGGGCUUUAGAGACAAAAAGAUUGAGUCUUGAAAAGCACAAGAAAGCUCAAAAUUGCCAUUUUGGGGGUUUAUUAUGUAAGAAAACACUCUUUCUUCGAUUUCUCCUUCUUUUUUUUUCUUUUCCUUUGCCCUCUAAAACAACAAUCAAGAAGCCAUUAGUGAAGAAAAAGGGGCUCUAGAGACAAAAAAAAAUUGAGUCUUGAAAUGCACAAGAAAGCUCAAAAUUGACAUUUUUGGGUUAUUUAUUUAUUUAUAUAGAAAAGCACUCUUUCUUCACUUCCUCUUCUUCUUUUUUUUCCUUCCUUUGCUCUCUAAAGCAACAAUUAAGAAGCCAUUAAUGAAGAAAAAGGGGCUUUAGAGACAAAAAGAUUGAGUCUUGAAAUGUUAAAGAAAUGUGAAUAUUUGUAACUGGAGUUAGUUUAUUUGAGCAAUCUUGAAAAUGGAACACAACAAAAAAUUCUGGAAAGCCCUUAAAUUUAGGAAAUAAAAUGUACCAACUGAGAAAAACCCAUGUCAGAAAUGAAGUAAACAGUGUGUGUGUAGAAGAAGAAAACAAACACUAAAAAACAAAGGGACACAGAAAACCUGGGACGGAGCUAGAGUAGCUGAGCUGAAAACAAUAUUUAAAGAGUAUAAAAGAAACAAGUGACUAAUUGUUAGUGUAGUACUAAGUUAUUCAGAAAAACAAAAUUGGAGUAGAUUAAGGUUGCAGAGAAAAAAAAAGGAUUUUCAAAGGACAAACAUGGAGCUAGACUGUGAGCAGUGAGCGGGGCGGGGUGGGGAAUGGGUACAACGUUGAUUAUGUAACUGAUUUUCAAGGGGUCAGGUGUUUGCGUGUGUUUUUAUGUCUCUUGUGAUUUUUGCUUUGUAUAGAGAAAAGGAGUGACAUAAAAAGAGGGAAAAGUGUGUUGGGAUUUCUGAAAAAAGGUUAAAAUAAAGAAAUCUGUGAGUAAUACGAUCAUCCCAUAUUGAAAGUUCGCCGGUUCGUUUGGUACGAGGAACAAGAAGGUAUAAGGACAUUAUAAAAAUUUAAUAUUAUCUUAAUAAUUUAUUUGGUUAACGAAUUAAGUAUAAAUUAUCUCGGCAUUAAUUUUAAUAUUGGGACAACUUAUACCUUAUAGAAAGUGAAGUAAUUAGCACCGGUAUAAUUUAUAUCUUCUUCUUAAAACUAAUGCAAUUGUCAUUCUUAAUACAAUAUACCAAAUAAUCAAUAAACAACAAUCUCAGCAUAACGUAUCUCAAUAUAACUUAUACCGGUAUAAAUUAUAUUCCAACCAAACGAAAAAAGGCAAGAUUGGAGAUUCGGGUAUAAAUUGUACUCCAAAAGAGUGUAACUUAGGCAGUUUAUUCUAAUACAAGUAUCAGUAGCUGAUUUUACUUCUCGAAUCGAUAACCUAAGUGCGAAGCUACAUUCUAGUAAGAAUAAUUAAUUGACUACUCUUGUUGAAACCACAUUAUAUUUCAAAUUUAAAUAUUCUUUAAAAAAUUUCUAAUUUCGUCGCUACUUAUAAAUUAUACAAAAAAACUUUACCUAGAAGUAUCACAGAAAAUGAGGAGUCACGAGUCAAUGAAACUGUUUAAGUCUACUGUAACUGUUAGUCUGCCUCCUUAGCUGGUUACAAAAUUUCUUCUUUUUCCAGUUAGGACAAUACAGUGCUGAGUUGUUCUUAUUUGAAAUUUAGGAUAAAGAUGUUCAAUCCUUGUAACGGAAUUGUAAUGGUUCUGUAUUAUAGAUGGCCAAAUUCAUAGACAGCUCUCAGCAUGUUCUCUUCAUUACUGUCCUACUCUUUAAACUUGCUGAAAAUCAGUUAGAAAUAACUUUACUAUUUUCAUAAAAUAGAGAUAAAGUUUGUAUAAAUAUUUCACUACCCAUUAUAUGAGAUUACACCGAUGUAUUGUGUUGUAAAUACAUAGGGAGCCCCUCAAAGAUAACACAAAAUUUCAUUUCGACACUUUAACUUGGCCAAUUUCCAUUUGAACACUUUAUGUAAAGUUGAAAUGUGUUUUUUAAACCUUUCUAUAGUAACCCGUAAAAAGAUCACUAUGCACGAACUUUAAAUGCAUACGAGGUUGUCUAUGUAUUUAACCUAAAUUUGGUGUAAAUUUCAUAACUUGUAUUUCAUUAUCUAGACAAGAGGGGUUGCUCUAAUGGUAAGCAAUCCUCACUUUCAACCUAGAGGUUGUGAGUUCGAGUCUCCCCAAGAGCAAGGUGGGAAGUUCUUGGAGGAAAGGAUGUCGGAUGUCUAUUUGAAAACAGUCUCUCUACCCCAGGGUAGGGGUAAGGUCUGCAUACAUAUUACCCUCCCCGGACCCCACUAAGUGGGAUUAUAAUGGGCUGUUGUUGUUGUAGUUAGGGGUGUACAAAGAAAACCGACAAACCGCACCAACCCGAUAAUCUGAAUCAAACCGAGAAAAAAAACCCGACUAUGGUUUGGUUUGACUUGGUUUGGUGUUGGAAAAAAACNNNNNNNNNNNNNNNNNNNNNNNNNNNNNNNNNNNNNNNNNNNNNNNNNNNNNNNNNNNNNNNNNNNNNNNNNNNNNNNNNNNNNNNNNNNNNNNNNNNNNNNNNNNNNNNNNNNNNNNNNNNNNNNNNNNNNNNNNNNNNNNNNNNNNNNNNNNNNNNNNNNNUAUACUUAUUGUAAUGUAAUUUAUAAAUAUUUCUUAAAAAAUUUCAUAAUUUUAUCUUUUAAGGUAUUAUUUCAAGGUUGGACUUAGAACUUUUAAAUGAUCCAAUAAGUUUUAUAGCCACUAACAUUAGUAAAUUGAAUAAUGCUAACAAUCAAUACUAAUGCUAACAAAAGACAUUCAAUUCAAUAUUAUAAACGAGAAAGUAUUGGAUAUCUAUUUUUGUUUUGCAAUAAUUUAGAUAAAAAUGCAUAACAUAUUUUUAUUUUGCUUUAGCUUUUAGUCAUGUAAUUAAUACUUCCUUAUUAGUCUACUUAUUUUAGCAUGACUUAGUACUUUUAGAUUAUGUUUAUUUUAAUUAUGACUUUUUAAUUUAGUAAUAUUUAUAUUACAUAAUCUUAUUGUCUUUAUUGUUGAAUAUUUUAGGAUAAUGUCAUGAAACAUUUCAUAUUUUGUAUUAUUUUCUUGAAAAAUACUCUAUAUAGUUGUAUCUUACUAGAAUUAAAGAAAUAUUUUGAGCAUACGUUAUAUGUUUUGUUCUAGGAAAAUUUUAUCGGAAAAAAAUUCGAAAAAACCGAAAACCCGAUUAAAACCGAUAUUUAAAAACCCGAGUUUUAUUGGUUUCGUUUGAUCUUUAGAUUUAAUAAUCCGACAUAAUUGAUUUGAUUUAGUAAUUAUAAAAUUUGAACCAACCCGGCCAUGUACAUUGUAGUAAUUCAUUCUCUAGUGGUUGCGGCCUACUAAAGUGUCCACAUGAACACUUUAUGUAUUGCAUCGGGAUAAGGUACAUACAUCAGAAUUUUAUGGAAUACGAUUUUUUUGGUAUUUGUAUGAACUCAAAAUAUUUUGUGUUUGAAAAAGUAGACCAAACCAACUUGCUAUGUACACGUAUAUUUUUUUACCAAAAUCAUAUGCUAGUAUUUCUGUAGACUAUGGUACUUGUAUUAGAUUCAAUAUUUUCAAGGGGUAGGGGCUGGGUUGGAGUGGUGGGGAGAGUUUGUGAAAGGGAAAUUUUAAUUGACACUUUGCCAGUGGGUCAGAAUAGACCAGAGACAGUACAAUAAUUCUUGAAAUAGACCCACCUAAGCUGAUGUGGUGUGGUAGGUCCAAUGCUUGUCUUCUUAUUUAUUUUAUUUAUUAUGAGUUUUUGAUUUUUUUUUGUCCGAGUCGAGGGUCGAUUGGAAACAGUCUCUCUGUCCUUUCGUGUAGGAGUAAGUCUCGUUUACAUAUUACCCUCCCCAUACUCCACUUUGUGGGAUAUUACUGGAUAGUUAUUGUUGUUGUUGUAUGAGUUUUUGAUUGAGUAUUUCAUCUCCGACUAAUUCAAAUUCACGUUAGAGAAUUUAAUUUUACUUUAGAGAUAAAUAUUGUUUAUUAAAGAUGAUUUUCUACUCAAGACUCGAAUAAACUAACUGGUAAAGAAGGAAAGGAUAUUAAUAACACCACUACAACUUUUGUGGUAAAAAACUUUUGAAAAUCACAUAAUUUUAUUGAUGGUGUUAUUGUUUCUUGGCUUCUUCGCUACUCCCCUAGUUCAUUUUAAAUGAUUUUUGAUUAUUUUCACACAUGUUAAAAAAUCAAUUUUUUAUCAUUAAUUAAUAAUAUAAUCAAUUAUAUUAGCCUUAAUUUGUUAAAAACAAAAAAUAUUCAUGGGCUCUUUACUUUAGUGGCAAUUUUGAAAAAAAAAUAAUUUUUUCUUGAUUUUUGAAAAAAAUAAGUAUUAUACAUAAAAAAGACAAAAAAAUUAAUUGAAACGGACAGUAAAGAGUAUCCUUUUUUUUUUUCAUGACUUUGUACAUGUAGGAUUGAAGGACUGAAUUUCUUCACACAUUUGAAUAUGAAGGCGAAUUGAAUUAUUUCACAAUGUGUAUGGACCUACAAAUUAGGAAAAAGAGGUUUGUGGGACACAGAAAUAAUAUUCUCACAGACAAGUAGGGUCAUAACAUGUCUCUAUGAUAUUAGGGGUACCCAUAUAUAUGUAUAUAUAUAUAUAAAAUAAACACCAUAUAUUCCUCUACGAGUCCAAAAUUUAAUUAAUAAUUAAUUAAACAAAAACAUAUUUUUAAUGUUAAAAAAAUUACAAAAAUAGGUUGUUCGCAAUAUCGUUGACGGAAAUUUUACCGUUAAGUGUAAAUCGCAGCACUAUACUGCGAACAAAUAAAAAAGAAUUUAAUGGUUGUUCGCAGUAUAGUACUGCGAUUUACUAAUUAGCAGUAUUAUAUUUCGAACAACCAUUAAAAAAUAAAAAUCCUUCUUCUUCUUCGAUCGACAGAACUGGUUGCCCACCAUUAAAAAAUUCUGGUCCCCCCCCCUCCACCCCCGUGCUAUAUAAAAAAAAUAAUUUCGGCCCCACCUGUCAUCUAAAAGCAAGGUGUGAAGGCUCCACACACAAAAGAAGGUUUGGAUUCCGUUUUUCGGGUGAAAAAAUUCAAUUUCAAUAAUAUUCAAAAAUUUUAAAUCGAGGUAUUUCGAUUUAGAUUAUGGCAAAACUCAUACAAUAGAUGUAUAUUUGUAUUGUUCAGUGUGUUUCCAUGUGAAUUUAUGUUAUUUUGUGUUUAAUUUUGUAUCUUUUAUUAAUAUAUGUAUAUUUGUAUUGUUUAGUGUGUUUCUAUGUGAAUUUAUUUAAUUUUGUAUUUAAUUUUGAAUCUUUUAUAUAUCCGGAUUGUUUAUUAGUUUUUGUUAAUUUGUAUUAUUUAAUUGUUUUAUUUGUAUUGUAAUGUUAUGUUCAUAUUAUUGUUGAUUAAUUUGUAUUUAGAGCCUUUUAGUGUAGUAAAAUAUAGAGCCUUUUAGCGUAGUAAAAUGUAGAGCCUUUUAGAGUAGAGUUUUAGUAGCUAACAAAAUUCUAAAAAUGUUGAAAUUGAGUCGCAUAAUAAUUAAGGAUUACUCGGUGCUACUGGGCCUCAAAAGUUCUCGGUAAUUCAAAAUUUUUAUAAUUUAAUUCUUUAAGGUUAAAAAAUUAUAAAAAUUAUUAAAAUUGACACGCAUAAUGAUUAAGGAUAACUCGGUGCUACCGGGCCUCAAAAUAAUGCAGUAAUUCAAAAGUUUUAUAAUUUAAUUCUUUAAGGUUAUAAAAUUAUAUAAAUUAUUGAAAUUGACACGUAUAAUAAUUAAGGAUAACUCGGUGUUACCACGCCCCAAAAAAUCAAGCAGGGAACUCAUACAUAAAAAUUCGCAGUAAUUCAAACUUUUUAAUAAUUUAAUUCUUUAAGGUUACAAAAUUAUAAAAAUUGUUGAAAUUGAAAUGUAUAAUAAUUAAGGAUAACUCGAUGCUACCAGACCCCAAAAACCAAGCCUGGAACUCAUACAUAAAAAUUCGCAGUAAUUCAAAAUUUUUAUAAUUUAAUUUUUUAAGGUUACAAAAUUAUAAAAAUUGUUGAAAUUCACACGCAUAAUAAUUAAGGAUAACUCGGUGCCACAGGGCCCCAAAAAUCAAGCAUGGAAUCCAUACAUAAUUAUUUGCAUAAUUCAAAAAUUUUAUAAUUUAAUUGCUUAAGGUUACAAAAUUAUAAAAAUUGUUGAAAUUGACACGCAUAAUAAUUAAGGAUAACUCGGUGAUUCCGGACCUCAAAAACAAAAAUUGACAAAAUUAUAAAAAUUGUUGAAAUUGACGUGCAUAAUAAUUAAGGAUAACUCGGUACUUCCGGACCUCAAAAACAAAAAUUGACACGCAUAAAAUUAUAAAAAUUGUUGUUACACGCAUAAUACGGUCCCGAUGCCAACAAGAUCAAGCAUUAUUAAAAUGCUAAAAAACAUUAUAUUUUCAGUUUAAUAAUUUUCUUCAAAAAUUUAAUUCCGGGACCUCGGGAAAAUUCGAUUUCAAUAAUAUUCAAAUUUUUUAAAUCGAGGUAUAUUCAAUAAUCGUAUAAUACAUGCAUAUUUGUAUUGUUUAGUGUGCUUACAUGUGAAUUUAUGUUAUUUUAUGUUUAAUUUUGUAUCUUUUAUAUAUCCGGAUUGGUUUAUUAAUUUUUGUGAAUUUGUAUUGUUUAUUUGUUUUAUUUGUAUUGUAAAAGUUAUAUUUAUAUUAUUGUUGAUAAAUUUGUAUGUAGAGCCUUUUAGCGUGGUAAAAUAUAGUGUCUUUUAGCGUAGUAAAAUAUAGUGUCUUUUAGUGUAGUAAAAUAUAGAGCCUUUUAGCGUAGUAAAGCGUAGUAAAAUAUAGUGUCUUUUAGUGUAGUAAAAUAUAGAGCCUUUUAGCAUAGUAAAAUAUCGAGUCUUUUGGCGUAGUAAUAUUUACAGCCUUUUAACGUAGAGUUUUAGUAGCUAAGGAAAUUCUAAAAACAUUGAAAUUGAGACGCAUAAUAAUUAACGAUAACUCGGUGCUACCGGCCCUCAAAAAUUCGCAAUAAUUCAAAAUUUUUAUAAUUUAAUUCUUUAAGGUUACAAAAUUAUAAAAAUUAUUGAAAUGGACACGCAUAAUAAUUAAGGAUAACUCGGUGCUACCGGGCCUAAAAAAUUUGCAGUAAUUCAAAAAAUUUAUAAUUUAAUUAUUUAAGAUUACAAAAUUCUAAAAAUAUUGAAAUUGAGAGCAUAAAUUAAGGACAACUCGGUGCUACCGGGACUCAAAAAUUCACAGUAAUUCAAAAAAUUUAUAAUUUAAUUCUUUGAAGUUACAAAAUUCUAAAAAUAUUGAAAUUGAGACGCAUAAUAAUUAAGGAUAACUCGGUCCUACCUGGCCCCAAAAAUCAAGCAUGAACCCAUACAUAAUUAUUCGCAGUAAUUCAAAAAAUUUAUAAUUUUAUUCUUUAAGGUUACAAAAUUCUAAAUAUGUUAAAAUUGAGACGCAUAAUAAUUAAGGAUAACUCGGUGCUACCAGGCCUCAAAACUUACAAAAUUAUAAAAAUUAUUGAAAUUGACACGUAUAAUAAUUAAGGAUAACUCGGUGCUACCACGCCCCAAAAAUCAAGCAGGGAACUCAUACAUAAAAAUUCGCAGUAAUUCAAAUUUUUUAUAAUUUAAUUCUUUAAGGUUACAAAAUUAUAUAAAUUGUUGAAAUUGAAAUGUAUAAUAAUUAAGGAUAACUCGGUGCUACCGGACCCCAAAAACCAAGCCCGGAACUCAUACAUAAAAAUUACCAGUAAUUCAAAAUUUUUAUAAUUUAAUUCUUUAAGGUUACAAAAUUAUAAAAAUUGUUGAAAUUCACACGCAUAAUAAUUAAGGAUAACUCGGUGCCACAGGGCCCCAAAAAUCAAGCAUGGAAUCCAUACAUAAUUAUUUGCAUAAUUCAAAAAUUUUAUAAUUUAAUUGCUUAAGGUUACAAAAUUAUAAAAAUUGUUGAAAUUGACACGCAUAAUAAUUAAGGAUAACUCGGUGAUUCCGGACCUCAAAAACAAAAAUUGACAUGCAUAAAAUUAUAAAAGUUGUUGCUACACGCAUAAUACGGUCCCGAUGCCAACAAGAUCAAGCAUUAUUAAAAUGCUAAAAAACAUUAUAUUUUCAGUUUAAUAAUUUUCUUCAAAAAUUUAAUUCCGGGACCUCGGGAAAAUUCGAUUUCAAUAAUAUUCAAAUUUUUUAAAUCGAGGUAUAUUCAAUAAUCGUAUAAUACAUGCAUAUUUGUAUUGUUUAGUGUGCUUACAUGUGAAUUUAUGUUAUUUUAUGUUUAAUUUUGUAUCUUUUAUAGAAAAUUCGAUUUCAAUAAUAUUCAAAAAUUUUAAAUCGAGGUAUAUUCAAAAAUCGUAUAAUACAUGCAUAUUUGUCUUGUUUAGUGUGCUUCCAUGUGAAUUUAUGUUAUUUUAUGUUUAAUUUUGUAUCUUUUAUAUAUCCGGAUUGGUUUAAUAAUUUUGUGAAUUUGUAUUAUUUAUUUAUUUUAUUUGUAUUAUUAAUGUUAUGUUCAUAUUAUUGUUGAUAAAUUUGUAUGUAGAGCCUUUUAGCGUAGUAAAAUAUAGUGUCUUUUAGUGUAGUANNNNNNNNNNNNNNNNNNNNNNNNNNNNNNNNNNNNNNNNNNNNNAUAUACCCGGAUUGGUUUAUUAAUUUUUGUGAAUUUGUAUUAUUUCUUUGUUUUAUUUGUAUUGUUAAAGUUAUGUUUAUAUUAUUGUUGAUAAAUUUGUAUGUAGAGCCUUUUAGCGUGGUAAAAUAUAGUGUCUUUUAGCGUAGUAAAAUAUAGUGUCUUUUAGCGUAGUAAAAUAUAGAGCCUUUUAGCGUAGUAAAAUGUAGAGCUAGUAAAAUAUAGAGCCUUUUAGCAUAGUAAAAUAUCGAGUCUUUUGGCGUAGUAAUAUUUACAGCCUUUUAACGUAGAGUUUUAGUAGCUAAGGAAAUUCUAAAAACAUUGAAAUUGAGACGCAUAAUAAUUAACGAUAACUCGGUGCUACCGGCCCUCAAAAAUUCGCAAUAAUUCAAAAAAUUUAUAAUUUAAUUCUUUAAGGUUAUAAAAUUAUAAAAAUUAUUGAAAUGGACACGCAUAAUAAUUAAGGAUAACUCGGUGCUACCGGGCCUCAAAAAUUUGCAGUAAUUCAAAAAAAUUAUAAUUUAAUUCUUUAAGAUUACAUGGAAUUCGCCGAGGGUGUUUCCAUGGCGAGAGGGAGAGGUCGACCUCGGAAAGUUCCACUUGCUCUCAUAGAUCGUGUUAUUCCCAUCGUCAAACAACCAGUAAGUGCUGAUAACCCACCCGACACUGUUCCAUUGCAAAACAGUGUCGACACUGUUCCAUUGCCUCAUGCAGUUGCAGAAUCAAGCACAUCUGAAGUG